GAUUUAAGACACAAAUUUAGACUUAAAACUUAAAUAAUCAAUUUGUGCCAGCGGGAAACACACAAACACGUACCGGUAAAUUAUCAUAAUCAGAAUUUGUCGACGAAUUUGAUAUUCUUUUACAAAAUAUACUUAUCUUAAUAUGUAUAACCGGAGUUUAUAUUACAUGCCCCUCUCCCAACGAUAGUUGUAGUACUCUUAUAAUAGUAGUACUCAUGAAUACAGUUAAUCCGGGUUGUUGGGAGAGAUCACAUGCAUAAAUACAACAUGAAACAAACGUGUGAAAAAGGUACAUAAAAUCGGUGUGACCCGUUCUUGUAUUAUAAGAAAUCAACUUGCUUAGGCCUUGCCGGACUCCUCACAACCCGGUGGCUUGAAGGCGAUGAAGCUGAUGCACUGCACUUGCCUGGUGUUGUCGAAGCCGAUGAUGCGGACAUAGGCGUCAGGGUACUCCUUCUUCACCUCCUCCAGCUCCUUUAGCACCUGCGUGGCGUCGGUGCACCCGAACAUGGGAAGCUUCCACAUUGUCCAGUACCUGCCGUCGUAGUACCCGGGAGAGUUGCCGUGCUCACGGAAGACGAAACCGACCUUGCUGAACUCGAGGCAAGGAACCCACUUGGAGCGGAUGAGAUACUCGAUCUGCUUCAAGAGGGACUCCACGGUGAGAGGCGGCAGGUAGGAAAGGGUUUCGAACUUCUUGAUGCCCUCAAUUGGCCACACCUACAAUUAGAUUAAUAAUUAGCACCGAAAGUAUAAUUUGAGACACAUAUCAGUAUUUCACUUCAACAUAUGUACAUGAUGACAUACAUACCUGCAUGCACCUGAUCCUUCCACCGUUGGAGACGCUGCCGAGACCAGCGCUGGCUGAGCGGCGGCCGAUGGGGAGCCCGGCGGUGGACUUGAGGCCCUGGAAAGGAGCAACGGCAGUAGCCGCUGACGACAUCACUGUGGGAGCCAUCGUACACGUACGUAGAUAGCUAACAAGAGGAGGCAGGCUUGCUUGAGUGCUCUCUAGCUACAGCGGCUUAUAUAACUGUAGGCUCCCCACCCAUCCAAUAUCAGCACAAGAUCUAGGAGGGGUGGCUGCAGUUCGCCGCGCGGAUUUGCCCAGGCCACGCUGGCAUCCUACGGAUCAGGUCGGGCGCCACAUGGCCGCACGAAAUGGCGCGCGUUAUCCUCUGGACGGAUACAAUUGGCUGCAACGCACUCUGCAAAUCAUGCCAUGAAGUGACCAAUUUUCACCUAUCAGGAUAGAUCCAAUGUGCCACGGCAUGCACUCAAAAACAGAACUUGCUAAUCCCUCCAAUCCAUAAAAAAUCUCGCCCACUUAUUAGAAAAUUUGUAAUGAGUUAAUGCAAAAUGAGCAGCACUUUUUAUGAACUAGAGGAACAACAAAUUAAGAGAAACUCUUCUAAGAUCUUAUCGAGAACGAAGCUUGCCCCCGCGUCGCUCAGUCUGGGGCGACACGGGCGGCAACCACACCAGCCCCGGCAGCAGCCUCUCCCCGUCCUCUCCUCCCCCUCGCCGCCGCCGGGCAAAGCCCGCACGGGGACGGCGGCGGCGGGGCUGUUUUUCUUGGCGGGGGUGUCCUAGAGCUCUUGGCUGAGGCGUUUGAGGUGCUGCCUCAUCGUGGUCGCGGCGUCUCCGGCCCGAUCCGGCAGGCUAUGCCUCGUCUUCGGCUAGAUCCGGCCGGCUUCCUCCCGGAUCCGGUGUUUCCCCUCGUUCUUCCUCUCCCUGGUGCUCGGUCUGCUCGUGGCUGCGCGGCUUCACGGCGGCGCUCUUCGGCCGGAUCUAGCUACUCGUUGGCCAGAUCCGUCAUCUCCUCCGGCUGAUCCGGCAUGUCCCAGGUCUCUUCGUUUCCAUCAUUUUUCCUCUCAGUUUGGUGAGGCGGCUGAUUGAACUUCACCGGCGGCAGAUGGGCUGCUGCUGCGGCCAUACAUGGUCCAAGUCGGUCCUUUUCGAUGCCAUGGUGGCGUGGUUUUCAUUUUCGGUCGCGUCUUCGGCUGCUGCCCGUGUGCGAGGUAUGGACGUCGGCUCCGGUGUUUGGAGUGUUGCUCUGGAUGAAAACUGCCCGUGUGCGAGGUAUGCCGAAGACAACGAUGUUGUAGCGCCGUUUUCCUUCUUGGAGGUGUCGUCGAAGAGCUUCACUUUCCCUCACUUUGAUGUUUGGUGUCUUCGGGUGAAAACCUAAGAUUUGGCUAUGGCCAGAUCGGGCGACAACGGCGUUUUUACGUCGAUUUCCUCCUUGGGGGCGUUGUCAUGGAGACAACGACUCUUGGUGGCAUCGGGUGGUGUGGUCCGUCUAUGGUGGAGCUUGUUGUCUCGAGUUGUUGAAGGUUUGGUGGUGUCUCUUCUUGUGUCAUGUGUUAGCUUAGGCUGUCGGUUUGUGUCCGGCGAGAACGUGCGUUUCUUAUCCUUUGGUGCGGUUUCGGCAUGUGAUGCCUUUCGUCUUCACUAUCGUCACGUAGGUGUCGUGUUGUAUUCUCGGUGGUGUGUGGUCUUUCGGCUUAGCCAACGGCAAGUGGAGGUAUGAUCUCGGUUGUGUAUUGCCCUUCGACUUCAUCGGCGGCACAUCGGCGUCGCGGUGGGUCUCAGUGACGCGCAGCCCUUCGACUCUGCCGGCUACGUAGGUGUCAUGGUGCGGCCUUGACCCUGUGCUUCCCUUCAGCUACGGCGACGACAUAGUGUCUGGGUGGGCUCGUCAGAUCGACGCCUUUCGACUACAUCAACUAUGCUCUUCAUUGUGCAUUUAUUUUGCCAUUGACAUGUUUCAAGAGUCUAGGUUUUUUCCUUGUGUUUCUUUUAGCAAAUGCUGUUCUGCAGGCUGGCUUUUGCCCACCCGAUCAGAAAAGAAAAACAAAUUAAAGGCUAAAAUCAAGCGAUGUUAUAUUCCCUUAGCUAUUACAAAUAUGGAUGAUAAGAGUUAUUUAUCCUUUUUCAACGAGUAACCCUUUACUUGGAAGUUCCAUGUGCAUGGCGCUGCAAGAAAACAAACAUCAUAAUGGGGCAAGACUUUUUUUUUUAUAAACAUCCAAUUUGGGUUAAAGUCUGAAAGAAUUUGGCUAUCUGAACUUUCAGUUUCCACAUUCUUUUACCUACUCAAUUCUUCAGCCAACAGGAUCAAUGGCGACCUACUAACACCAACCAGAACACAUGGGUCACAAACACGAAAAAGGGCUAGAAGGCUACUUAUACACACUCAUGUGUACUGCGAGCAAAAGAACAUAAUGUACAAAACUUUACAAAAUCUAGGGAAUUAAGACCUUCCCGUAUGCUGUUGCUGCCGCUGCUGCUUCAUGCUGGCUCUCCUGGCAACAUCCCAUGGUUUGUGAGGCACACCUACACCUUGCUGGGAUGCGAAGAACGACUCGUAUCCCGGGGAGUCGAAAGCAAAACCAGUGUGCUUGGAGUUCUCUCGAGGGAGCAUGGAGAUCGCAUAGCUUCUUGCUUCUUCUGGGCUCAAAUGGCUCCUCUCAGGCAGAUGUAUCAUGCUGUAUUCGUGGGGGUCAUCCUUGUGCAUCUCCUGGAUUACUUGGUAGUCAUAGGGAAAGAGCCAUCUUUGGAGCCUGAGAAAGCACACAGCAUCAAAGACAACAAUUGAUUCAGCUACUUCAGUAUGUACAAUGGAAGGAAUAACAAACGGAUGGCAUUAACAAACAUAUAAUUUUGCAAAAGAGCUGGUAUCUUACGAUAGAUACAGGAAAUCACCAAAGAGAGCGAUGACUGGAGCAAGCAUUAGUGUGAGGUAGAAGAAAAAGGUACUCAUCAGAACAUAAAUCACAAAAUAUACAUUUUCCUGCACAAGGUACACAGCAUUAAGUCAAUGCAUUUGUAGCAAGUAAUCGUCAUCAGCAGUGUAAUAGCUACAUUAUUCACCCACCUGUCGGUCAAAUGAUGUCAUUAUCGCAGAAUAUAUGAAGAUAAACAGAAACCAGGCCGCUAUACUGCCAGCUACGCUGAAAUAAUGCCAUCUCGUGAUAGAAUUGCACGACAUGAGGAGACGUAGAUUAACAGUCACCACAACACAAGUAAAGGCCAUCGUGCUAACAUCCCAUUGACCAAGAAUCUUGCCAGAUGAACCGUGACCAUGCUGACUUGCAGCUGCAGUAAAGUAAUAGAACACUAUUGACUGGUAGAAGGCAAAGAAACCCCACACCGCAAUCACUUUCCACCGGAAGAAUGUGUUCCUAAUUCCUUCUUGGUAAAGUUGUGGGUAUUUUUUUGAUAGAGAUGCACUCACAUCCUGAAAGGGUUCAGUUUAGUGAAUGUAGCAAGGAGCGUCACUCCAGAACAAGAAAAGUAGAACAAAUACAAGCAACCAUACCUUAUCAAACAACCCAACCAUAAUUACAGGUAGUGCCGUGAAAAUGACAUUAUACAGAGACUGGAACCAGUCAUCAUAAAAUCGCUGACCAGAAAAGCCAGUUUGGAAAGUGAACCAGAACUGAGUUAGUGUAAAAGUCAGAUUCUUGUAGAAGAAGUAUGUGAUAACCUGAAACAGAAAGUGUCAAUGUUAAAAAAAUUAAACUACACAGAUUGGCAGCUACAAGCUAAGGGACCAAAGCAUACCUUGCACAAUCUCAAGUAUGACCACCGCCCAUGUACAAGAAGUAAAUCCGUAAGAUAUCGAAACUGAGCAAUGGCAAAAUCACUCGCCAUAACAGCUUGCAUUCCUUCUUGUCCGCUGAUGCCAAUACCAACAUGAGCAGCUUGAAUCAUACUCACAUCAUUAGCACCAUCACCAAUACUGAGAGUUAUCUUACGUGCACCUUUCCUAACUAAACUUGCAACCUACAAAUGUGUCAACAUUACAUGUUUUGGCAUCAUUCGAACCCAACAGGUUAUUAGGAAAUAAAUCCAAAAAUAAGAGACUUUGAGAUUGCUGAUGGGAUGGGUAACAACCAAAUAAGCACAUAUACAAUAAGUUAAUUAAUACUACCUUUGUUUCAAAAUAUUAUACCAAAACGUCUUAUAUUUUGAAACAGAGAUAGUACUUAUAGUACAAGAGUGUACAGGACAUUUAGUUAAGAGGCCAAAACUAGAAUAGCAAAAGCAACCAAUGCACAGUGGUUAAUAAUGAUCUUGUGAAUCAUGCACAAACUAUUUUGUUGUCAAGGUACAAAAUUGGAUCCUUUAAAAUGUAAUAAUAUCAAUAUCCCCCGUUUAUUGCCCAAGCAUCCUGAAAGGCAUGCAGCUGAGAGCUGCAGACCAUACUGCUAAUUAUUUCAUGGGAAAAGGCAAGGCAUGCAUGAUAAGAACGCUAAAAGCGAGAAUUGAUAUUUACCUGUGCCUUUUGCAGUGGAGAAACUCGACAACAUACAACUGAUUGGCAAAUUAAACUCAAACCAAGAAGAUUCACACGCAGAGCUGGGUCUAGAGCGUACAUCAAGCAUCGUCCAUCAAUAAUGAAAGCCAACUUUCGUCCUGGCGUGCUCCUCAAAGAACGGUGGGCUUCCUCAAGGUAACUUCUCAGACUCUGUUUUACCGAGUCUUUGAUAACACGUGCAAUUUCCACAGGGUCUCCCUGAAAAUGACUGGAACAUUAUUCAUGGCAAAGAUAUGUGCAUAAGUUGAUUUACAUCAAUCAGAUACAAAUGCUAAAUUGCUAAUUAUGGUUGAUCAAACUGCAAAACACACGAGAUAUCCAAAAGGCUAUAUAAACAUGAUGGAGAGGCUAAAGCACUGAAACAACAGAAUCAACAUAAAGUAUUUUGUACUAUUAUGCAACUAAGCCUUUUGUCCCAAGCAAGUUGGGGCAGGCUAGAUAUGAAACCCAAACAGAAACUAAAGCAAAGUGCAGGUAACAAAAGAGCAAGAGAGUAAAUCAAGGUUCAGGCACAUGGACUGCUGAUUUCCAUGCAGCCCUAUCAAAAGCAAAAUCUCUAGAUACAUUCCAGUCCUUCAAGUCCCUUUAACUGCCUCCUACCAAAAGCAAAUAUCAUAGUAAUCCACCAACCAAAGUAACAAGGGAACUACUUGUAACUUCUUAGUUCACAAGUACAUACCAGUUGAGCUAUCCAAUUAUUCUAAAUAAUAUGGUUUGAUACCUUUACCAAAGUCUCAACUUGUAUUCAUUUUAAAGCUUAUACAAGAUAUUAUAUGUUAUGGCUUAACAGUCUCCAUGACACAAUAUGGCUUGACUUCACAGUUUAAUUCUAUAGGAUUAUCUUACCCUGUCUUCAGCAUCUCUAAUUGCAUCUGUCUCAGAAGUGAUGAUGAAUUGUUUUGUAUCGUUAUUCACCAGGCUGCACGCUGCAGAGCAAAAACUAAAUAACUUCAGAAGCUUUUCUAUGUCAGGUGAAAGAGAGAGAAAAAGACCGCCCGCCCCCCACCAAUAAUCCAAAACUGAGCUUCUAUUAGACCCCUUAAGAACGAAACAAGCAUGCAAAUUGAUCUAUAUAUAAUUAAAACCUCACCAUAUGCUAUAUUAAUUGCUGUUUCCAUUUUAUCUCCAGUUAGCACCCAAAUUUUUAUGCCAGCUGCAGAAAGAGUUUCAAUGCAGGCUGGAACCCCUUCUUGCAGUUUGUCUUCUAUUGCAGUGCACCCUAUCAAUAUAAGGUCCUUUUCAAUCAACUCAGCCACCUACAGGGGAAGAAACAGAAGGAAAUUAUAUGGCAAUGUCCCAGCAAUAUCUUAAAUCAGAAUAUACAUUAAGUCUAUUACUUCAAAUUCCUUUUUCCUAGAAAUCACAGUGAACUUAGUACAUGAAAGAAUGAAAGGAUAAUGCUUUUCUAAUGGGGAUUUGAAAAAACAUCAUAAAAAUAAUAAUAUAAAGUACUGUAUGUUCUUGUUCUAGAUAAAUUACAAAUAUCUUUUGCUCAUGAUCCUCUUUCCUGACUAAAAAAUAUAUAUUAUUAUGUAAAAUACUAAUGUUCUAUGGCAGUACAAGAUAAUAAAUUAGCACAAAAAACUAUUAAACUGCAAAUGUCAGCUGUUAGGGAUGGAUGACAUGACUCCUGUAGUUUUGGGGGGAGAGAGAGAGGAGACACACUGAACAAAUUACUUCCUUCGUCUCCAAAGAUUGCCAUGCCACAUUCUAUUCGGUCAGUCAACCUUUUACAACUUCAAAAUUAACAAUUAUAAGUGAAUUGAAUUACUACAUGAAAAAUAACAGCACUCAAUUUGCUUGCAUAAUAAUUUGUACGCAAAACUUUUGCUUGUAUAUUAGCAUAGAAAUCAUAGCCAGAGUUUUAUGUUGGGAGAAUAUAAAAUUAAAAAAUGGCCUACAUUUGUCAGGUACAUUCAGUUAAUUGUUUCCAAAACCAAAUUAAUUUUCAUACAUAAAUACCAAACGGAUCAAUAGCAUGCUCAACAGUGCACAUGAGACUCGAGUUCAGUACUGGAUGACAGAAAGUAAAAAAAAUCAGGCAAGCACUAGAAGGUGGAGGGGAAGUAAUCGAAAUUCAAAUCACAGGGACUGUUCAGCCUGUAUACUCAACAGAAGAGGAUGGUACACAUACCUCAUCAAGCUUCUUAUCACGAUCUCGUAAAGAAGAUUUAGCUUGAACAAACUUCUCAUUCCAGCUUUCGUACUGCUCCCUGCUUAGAUCUCGAUAAGCAAGGCAAAGCGUGCGCAAGCCAGCAGAGCCAAAUUGUUCUAGAUGUUCUCUGCUUGUCUUUUUAAUGUCAUGAUUUCCAUCAGCUAACCGUUCAAAAAUGACAUUAUCAGCGCCCUGUUACACAACAUUUGUAUAAGGUUAGUGCAUCAAUCUACAAAGUGAUAGCUACAUAAAGAUUCUUUUUUCUUGUAUUACCUUGCAAUACAGAACAAGUUUUCCAUUUGGGAAACGGCAAACCACAGAUUGGCGCUUUCUUGUACUGUGAGUGCAGUAAAGUGUGAAGUGCAGAACAAUGAUUUCAUCUUGUCAAAUUUAAAUUGAAAACAGAUAAACCAGACCUGUUGAAUUCCAAAACAUUCAGAAUUUCAUAUGCAACAUCUUGUAUACUCCCCAUCCUCUCAACAUGUGAUUCCCGAACCAAGACUGUGGUUGGCGUACGUCUACAAGACAGGCACAAAAUGUCAACCACCGGCAUUGCCAUUCACAAUAAAAAUGCCACAUGAAAUAAUUUGCAACAAAAAUCAUAAGAACUUAGAUGAGUUCAUGUUCACAGCACUUGCUUUAACACUUGUCUUAAUUUACAACGGCAAUUUUUUGUUGAUGGGCUAAUAGUUUAUUUAUGCUUCUUAGUAUGUACAUUCAGUCCUUCAUACAACAAACUAUAUAAGCAAUAACCUGGGUGAGUGACUCUUUUAUGCACAUUUUCCUUGGGACCAUAGCAUAGUUUUUUAAGAUACCUUGUUUGCAACAAACUGAUAAGAGGAAUCUAUAACUGUAUUUAAAGGCAAGGUAAGACAUGCCUAUAAAAGAAGAAACCAAAAUUCUUCGCAGCAGCGACAAGCGCGGCCUCGUCGGGAGAGGCAGCUUGAUAAGUAAUCUUUUCCGGUGUCUCCUCACCCUCAGGAAGAACUGUAUGACAGAUUGCAAGGCAUCUGCAGAAUUGCUAUAGAGCAAAUAACAAAGUUGUUACACAACUAGCACAUUAACAAGGGAAAAUGUGAAAAAGGAAAAUAGGUUCCAAAUUUUAUUAGUAAGGGCAUAUAUCGUGAUAUGUGAAUAAUUUGUGUCAACUAAAUCAAAACUGAUUAUGACCAAAGGGGAACCAAUCGAACUAUUCCACAGGUAGUCCCGUAUUUACCACGCAAGCAUCAGGAUUAGGUUCAUUUCUCCAUGCACCACGCAUUAUUCUAGCAUCAUCAAAGUUGAAUCCUUUCUCAUGAACUGCAGUGGCUGAUCUUUUACCCUAAAAAAGGCAAGUAAACUGGAUAUUAAAUCAGUUGUGCAUUAAAUUUUUCAUCAUAUACCACCACACUUCAAUAGCGUAAACAACAAAGAAAAUGUUGUAGACCUCAUCAUCAUCAAUCUUGACUCCGGCUCGCUCGGCUCCUCCUUUUUCAAUCUCUGUGAUGCCAGUUCCAUAUAUUUCCCCUCCAAUCGAACAUUUAAAGAAUUCCAUCAAGUUUCUUGUAAGUGUUCCAGUUUUGUCAGAAAAUAUAUACUCAACCUGAACCAUUAGUGGGGCAAAAAAAAUUUGGCAGAAAUGUCAAAUUAUUUGCAAGUGUUAAGUGCAUUUUAGUACCACUCGGCAUUUGUUCAGUCAUAUAAGCAUUUCUGGGGAUCUAGAACAGUUUUUCGGUGGGAGUAAGUCACUUAAUAUUAGUGAAAUGAGACUGUUCCCCAAGUGCUUAUAAUUGAUCCCACUUUCUGGAAUGAGUCGGUGCAGUGAGGUCAUUCUAUCCAUUAACCAAACCCAGCCAUAUAGGUCAAAUAAGUAAAUAACCCCAUUUCAGCAACAAACAAAGGGGCUUUCAUCAAACUAAACAGAAUGCUAAGGAACAAAAAAAAAACUGAUAUUACCUGCCCAAGCUCCUCAUUCAGAUUAGAAGUCCGAGCCAAAGCUGGGGUGUUGCUCUCGGCAUGAUACAUAUUCAGAUCAUUGUUAAUAAACUUUGCACACUGAAUGAAUUUGAUCAUCUGCCAGCCAAAAUAAACAUAAGGUCCAAUCCAAAUACAGGGUACACUAAAUGAUAAAUUGGUCAAUAUACCUCAAUGGAUACAUAAAGAGAAAUGGGGAUGAUCGUUGAGUAUAGAGUUAUUAGAGUAAACAUAGUUAAAAUGGUCACCUGCAAAAGUACAAACCUAUGAUAUAAGGCCACUUAGAGAAUAUUCUCUACAAUAAAUUAACUAAAAUAAUAUAUACCACAAAUCUGUUCUUGGGAUUAAACUGGUCCUCGACACGCCCACGCAAUCCAAGAUAGAAGUAUUUCUCAUUAAUAAACACGCCACUGUUCACAAAAGCCAAGUAUGAUGAGUCCAUUGGUAGAGUUUUAGGUUUCUAAAGAACGUGCAAGCUAAGCAGUCAUAGUUACCAAAAUCUAUAUGCUGAACAGAGCACUUCCAUUUCUGACCAUCUAGAAAGUGCCCUAUUAUGUACCUCCCACAUAAAACCACUAAGAAAAAAGAUAAGGCUAUUAAGACCUAGUCAUGUGCUCAUCUAUACUGCUCCUAUGCCACAAUAAAAAAAUAACUUCCCCAAACAAGCUCCUGACAACUCAUGUCAUAAUGUUUAAAGUUUAUCUCUCUAUUAACAGUUGUUUUUUCAUGAUCAAUUAAAUUGUGAAAAAUGAUUGUGCAAGCAUAAGCCUCCACAACAUCAACCUAACCGAUAUAACUCAUGUUCAGAGAAUAUACAUGUAAACAAUAAUACAAGAUAGAUAAGUCAAAUAAAUGAAGUGGGCCAAAUAAAACACUGACCUUCCAAUAGCACCAAUGACACACAUCGUAAAGAGGGUUGCAAAUAGAGCAAGAAUAAGCUUGUCUAGUUUCUUCUCCAAUGUACUUCUUUUAGAGGGAACAUUCAUAGAAUUCAUCAUAACCUGCAAUAGUGUCCCACUGCAGUAAAUCUCAAAACUAGAAGCACAUCUAACCUACAAGUUGAAUAUAUAGGGACACAAAAUUGCACAUACUUUCGUCUCAUGGCCCGUGAAUAUAACAGCCGCGACAAUGUACUCUGUAUUACGAAGGCUGCAUCCCUGUGGCAAAGUGGUAAUAAGAGGUUGCAUGUGUGCCACAUAAAGAGAGAGAAUUAAGUGUCAUGCAAGACACCGUUCAGUCUGGUGAAAGUAAACAUUUCUUUUGCACUUUACAAACAUUGCUUCAACCCUUCACCACUUAUCCUACAUAUGGGACUAGAGAAGAAAUGGAAGUUGUUUAUAUGAAUGUUAAACAUUUCCAAAUUGUUUAUAUCAUAGCUAUCCUUGUUUGCAAACCAAUAAGAACAAUAUUAUUAUAGAGGUGUUUUAUGAUGAAAAUUUCUGCUGGUGACAUUUGGGUGUCGUCAAUAUUGGUAUUUGGAGGAGAUGUUGGUGAUCAAAGUUAAAGGCCGAGUAAAGGCAUCACGCUAUGAUGUUAUUUUUUACCUGAGGGAUUUUCUUAACAAACUCAUGCUAAAUCUAGAACAUGCAAACAACUUUGCAGGUGGACAAUCUUGUAAAGAAAUUUCAAGGGCAUGUUUGUGUGAGGGGUAUUACUUUGGUACGUGUUGGUAACUACAUACCUAAUUGUUACAAGAAAAAUCUCAUCCAAACAAGCCCUAAGGACAUUAUGGACCUUGCUACUGCAAAGUUGGUAAGUCGAAAAUACGACAGGAUGUCUGAUUGAUAUGUAGGACCUGGACCCACAUGUCAUUCUCACAGCGAGUCGCACUAUUUCAAAUGUCAACUUUGUGGUGGCAUGGUUUCAAUUUUCCCAAUAAGAAACUAGAUACAAAUAGCAUAGAUGAACAGCACUUACCCUUAGUAGUAUUUGAUUUGGUGAAAUUGGUAUAGUUUGCUUGUCCACAAUAAGGUUCCCGGUAAAUGUAUAAAGUGAAUUGUUUGGCUGUUCGCAUUGUAUUUCACCUGUAAGCCAUGAAACAUACAGAUAAUGUGAAGUUAAGAAAAUGUAGAAUAGUUAAGUGAAGUUCAGAAAAGGAGCAAUGCUUCCUACACCAACUACCGAAAAAUGUCUGCAACAUGGAACAAGAAUAGAUAAAAACCUUUGAAUUCAGAAGCCUUUUCAGGAAUUACGCAGUCCCAGGUUUUCUCCAAAGCCUUCCUUAUUUUCAGGUUAGUUUCCCCAUCAAGAUUUGCUGUCUAAGGUAAAUAGAAGUAUGAUACACUUCAAUUAAAACAGAGUUUCUCUAAAUCAUUCAAUAAUUUCAAUUUGGACAAAAGAUGGAGAAGGUAAGAAUGAAUAUAUUGACCUCUAUGUAGCAGACACCAUCAGGGUUCGUACUUGAUAGGAAGAGCAAGUCAGAAGGAAAGUAAGUGUCUUGCUUGAUCUGCUCUAAAGAAGUGCCAUCACUAUUAGUCUUUUUGGAUAUGUGUAUCGAGCUGAAGAUUAAAUUUGCACAGCACAAAAGAUCAAGUGCAUUAAUUUGUGGAAGCAACAGAUCAAUUGAAUUGAUCAUCAAAUUGCUAUCAGGAAAGAUGAAGACAUUACCCUCACAAUAUCUCCAACCUGCAGUCUUUUCCAAGGGGCACUUUCCCAUUUUUGACCUUGCAAUACAUCGACGUGCGCAUUAUUAAUUGACAUGUCAUUCUGGAAACGUUUCUGUAUAAUGGGAGGCAAACAAAAAGGGAAGAAUAUCAGAUAACAUUAAGAAUAGCAAUAAAAUAGUGGAGCAACAGAGCAUGAGAGCAAUACUAACCCAGUCCUCAAAAGCUUCCUUGAUGAGUGAAACCAAAAGCACUAAACUAAGUGGAACCACAUUGGUGACAGGGUGGACUGGACUGCGAAGAUACAAGCAUGUAUGAACUAAGAUUUCUAGAAGUAAAGGUGAAGGAAAGCAAAGGAUGACUGAAUCAACUGAUGGACUUGAUAUGCUAAGAAGUGUCUAGCUGUAACAUGAGAAUUCCAUAGGGUGCAUGCAUGAGAGAGAGAGAGAGACCUAAUUGGUGUAGUCGACAAGAUUGAAAUCAUAAGAAAGUAAAGAUUUGCCACCCGUCUGAACUGUCAAAGCAAAAAAAAAAACAAAUGAAUUACAAAAGGUUCCUAUGGUCAAAUUGCGAUAAUACAGAAAGGGAACAUCUAAAUCGGUGUUACAGCUACCAUUGCAAAGUUUCUUUAUUCGAUAUGGAAAAAUGCAUUACAUGUUUAAUGUAUGAAGCCAUUGAAAUACUUUAAUGUACCUUACGUAAAAAACAGUGGAUAAUGAAAUUGCCAGAAUUAUGGUAUCGCAUAAAAUGAAGGUUACAUUGAGCGAAAAGCAUGAUCAGGGCUUUACCAAAUAACAAAAUCAUACUUCUCCUUUUCUCAAUAUAUGGCAUUUUAGGUUUCAUUGAAGACAAGUCUUUGAAAAGGAUUUACUUUGUGUUGUUUUUAAGGCAUGAAAUUUAUAUCACUAGAUUCAUCCUCAAAAGUACUUAAUGUGGAUUCAUAUCAUAUAAAUCACAUAUUAAUGAAGUAAUUCUUGGUCAAAGUCUUGUAUUAACGAAACCUAAUAUGUCCUGUAUUGACAAAAUGAGGGAGUAUAUUAUCUAACAGUGCAUGUAUACAGGCACGAUACUGGUAGCGCGUAUUACAAGCAAGGUAUCUUAAAAACAUUGCAACACAGUGCCAGACCAGGUAAGCAACUAAGCAUCUCAUGUAUCCACUAUUUUAAGGGAAGUUGAUCCAGAGUGAGGAAAUAAACAUUUUUAAGGAGAUAUAUCAAUUUGCAAUGUGAAAAUGAUACGGAGUAGUAUAAUCAUUUCACUGUGAUAACAAAUACUCCCUCCGUUCUAAAUACUUGUCGCUGUUUUAGUGCAAACUAAAACAGCGACAAGUAUUUAGGAACAGAGGGAGUAACUUCCAUUUACCGUUAGACAUGAUACAAAAUAAUAUGUUGAAAAAAAAUCUAGCCAAAAACUAAAAAACAAACAGAAAAUCUGCAUUAAACGAUGACAAACCCAGCAGGUAUGUUGAUUAACAAAAUAUGUAUGAACAAAAAACAACGCAUCAAUACCUGUUCAAACAAUCCUUUAGGUAGAAAUGUCAGCACACUGUACUUUGUAGUCGACACAGAAUUUCCCUGGAAAUGUAGAAUGAGAAUGUUAAAGAACUAAUUCUAGCAGAAAAACAAAGUAGCGCUCUGCAUUAGAAUCGCGAUGGUCUGAUACCCAACAUGAGGGAGAUUCUGAAACUAAACAGAAGAGCUAAUUGCAACUAGAAGCAUGAAAAAAGUAUAGCUUGAUCUUUUUACAACAUCAAGUCUGAAUACAUUCAAGCAUUUACACUAACUUGGAACAAAAUGUGGGUGUCAAAGAAAAUGCAUGAAUACACCUACUUACAAUAAAGCACCAAUUUUGCAGUGAUUGGACAAACUAUGGUUAAAAUACUUAAUAAUAGAGUUCUACGUAUUUGGAGGCAUAAAACGCAUUGCAGUUGGAGCAGUGGCAUUAUCAUGUUAGUCAGUCUAACAUGGCAGUGAAUGACGUGAAUUUUUUGCUAGUUUAGACCUCUGGCCAGCGCAAUUGACAAAAAUGCCCCCCUCUCAAAACUAAUGCCAAAAAUGGUCUGGCAGAAGGCCCGAAAGGCGCCACAUUUCAUUUUUCGCCAUCUGAGCUGCGCAUGCAAACAUUCCGACAACCUGAAAGGCGGAAAGGCCGUUCCGCCUACUGCAUUUGAUGAAUGCACCUGACAAGGGCGGAAGGUGAACUGGGCCCUGCAGAUGGAAGCAAUUUCCACAUUUGUUACAGACCUGGAAUCUUUUUUUUUGUUGGAGUCGACGGACCAUGUAUGUGCGGAUGCAUAGGAAUCGGCAAGCAGCCUAGCUGCUAGUUCACGGGCACGUUUUACAUUUUCUUUCCUCAGGUUUGGCUAGUGCUACCACGUUGAUACUAAUCAACGCUUCUUGUGAAUGGGCUUAGUUGCUUCUACUAGUCGUGCGAGCGUUAAUCUUUUCUCUGUGCGCCUGCAUGUGCGGGCGUGGGAAUCGGGUCAGGUCCCUGCAGACAGCACGCCUGGCUGCACUGGGCCUGCUUCAGCUUCCGCCCCUGAAAAUUCACUUUCGUCCAUUUCAACUGGAAACAAGUAGGCUCCACCUGUCCUGUUGGCGGAAAGUUCAUUCCUCCUACCCAGUGGCCACUGGGUCAGUUGCUGGGCUUUCCACCACGUCAUUUUUCAAAUUAUAUUUCAGAUGGAGCUAUUUUUGCCAAUUCCGUUUGACAAGGGGCUACAAGAGCAAAGAAAUUGAAUGACAUAGCAAGCAAUCAAUUUCCCCUUAUAGGUAAAUAAUAAACAGCUUUGCUUCAGCUUACUGUCAUCAGCUGGUGGCUGACUGCCCUGACCAAACACAAGUUCAGUAAUCUACACAGCAAGCGGCACACAGGUGCAGCUAAGCACAUGGAUGAACAGAAUAUUCCAGCCAUUGAGGCUCAGCUCUCGAAGCUUAAUGCCAGGUGGCAUCUACAUUGUAUUGCAGCCCGUAGCACCCUGAUUGACUAGUAACCCAACAAUGAGACAAGCUCUAAUCCACCCAAUGACCUCACAGUUGGCAAGAAAUGCAGCCCUUAGUGACACGCACCACCCUACAUAACUUUCUCGUGGACUAAUCAGUAUGAAUCAUAUAAACCCUCUGCAAGCUGCAGUGAAAUAAAACUACUACUACUGAACUAGCUAUUGUCCCAGAUGGCCAUCUCCAACCCAACCGCCCAAGCAUGAAACAAGGGGCCAGUUACGAGAUCUAGGCCUACAGACCCCUAGACCUUGAGACAACCGACCUGUUGAUCAUCCGAAUUAGAGGAGGAGGUGCACACCCGUACCUUGUACCCGACCGGCGCGUUGGCUUCGCGGUCGUUGCAGUAGAUGGUGCGCACGGUGGGUGCCUGCGGCUGCGGCUGCCGUCGGAGGCUGCCGCCCCCGCCGCCGAGACGCGCCGUCCUGGACGCCUCAGCGCGGCCGGCCUGAGAGGUCCCCCCCCGCGGCGACUGCUCGCCGCCCAGCCGCGCGGUGGCAACCCGCAUCAUCUCCUUUAUGCGCGAGCUCAUCCUGCCCCCCUCAGCGCCAAACCCAGCGCUGGAGGAGCCGGCGGGAGAUCUGGGGAAACCUCACGGUGGAUCGGAGGGGAGACCUAGUCGGAUUUGCGCGGCUUUCUGGUGGAUUUCAGUGCCUCGCUGAGGAGGGGAUUCGAUUUGGGUCACGCGUUCCCGUAUGUGCGUAUUUUUUCCGUGUAAUUUUUUUGUUUUGCCUUUUUCUUUUCCUUUGGCUCCGGGAGAAGAGAAGACAGGAGGGGAAGGAAAAGCGAAGGUCGCGACUUCGCGAGGAAGAAAAUGAAGGGAUUACUGCAGAUCACACCCUUGAUUAUUUUCGAAUAUGGAAAGCUCCAGUAACUGAAGUUUGAAAUUCCAGCCGCGUUUGUCUUUUCCUUCUUCGAGCAAACAACCGUGUUCUUGACUUGUUCUAUGUUUUUGCUGUCCGGAGGACUACCCGAUUUGCAAGUAAAUAAUGGCAUUAAUUUCAUAUAAGCACUUUAGGACACCACACUUGACAUGGUUUUCUACUGACGACGACUAUAUGGUGGCUUUGAUGUUCCAUGAAUAGAUCUUUUUAGCGGUGUUUCAAGUUCAGGUGUUAUAACAAAGCAUUACUCUUGACCUAUCUUCCCUUGCGACCAUGCUUUUUGAAUCGCCAAGUCGAGUCGAAUCGCCCCCCAACAGACUUGGAGGUUAGUAUGAUUAGUCAGAAACUAGUCUCGACUAAUCAACCCAAGUCGAGCCUAGUGAUCAGUGAGGUUUAGGGAGCUCUAGCAGGGAGCAUUAGAGGAAAGGAGUGAAUUGCAGUAGAGGGGAAGCACGAGGGAACAGUUUUUGUGGUGCUGGAGCUUGAAGAAGAGGUUCAUGGCGGCUAGGAUCUAGGAGUCGAUAAACUUAGAACGCCCGUGUUGAGGCAAACGCGUUGAGGAAGACGACUUCAAAGGUGGUUGGCUCAUUAUCAGGAUAGGUGCGUGCCUGGCAGCCCAUAAAGGCCUAUUAGAAAACCCUAACUCCCCCCUCCCCCCCCCCCCCACACACACAUUGCCUUCUUCUACACCACACACGCACCAAUGGCGGCCAUCUUCUUCCCCUUCCCUGCUGCUCCCCAUGCCUUCUCUCCCUCCCCGAAAAGAAAUAUCUUCCGAAAAUUCUUCUCUUCGAGUCAAGUUGAGGGGCUCGCGGCGUUCCUAGUCACGGCGGCUAGUCGGAGAAGUCGCGGUUCUAGCUGACGAGUCGCGCGACUUGCUCUGCUAGUCGAGUCGCGGCUGCAAGCCGCCAUCAUUGUGCUGGCUCGGCGACUAGUUGGCGAUUCAAAAACCAUGCUUGCGUCUUAUAAUUUUGUUUCCUCUUAGAUUUUUUUCAAUUAUGUAUGGAACUCUUUUAAGCUUGGCUAACAUAUUGGGUCAAUUUGUCUCCCAUUGAAAAAAAAACAAUUUCCUAUAAAAAAUAAAGUAUCCACAAAACAAUAUGCAUAGCGCAGUUGUUUUCAAAGUUGUGGAUGAAACUUUGUGUUGUACAGGCAACCACUUAAUAACUUGUUCGGUUGUAGAAUUCCCCGCAUGUAUUGAAGAGGAUUAAGAGAGAUCUAAGGAAAAUUGAUCUGCAAUUCGAUCAUUCCCUCUUAAUCCCCAUCGGAGUGGAAUCAACCGAACGGGGCUAAUGUGGACCAUAUCACCUUGAGGACUCCAUUCUUCUUUUAUGGCAACGUUGCAUGGACCUUGAUAUGAACGCACGUGCCUGCAAUCUCUAUUAUUUUUUCGUAAAUAGCAACUGUCCUUUCUGUAUCUUGUAAUAUGUUUUCUACAAUUUUAUUUGGGAUAUUUCGUCAAGAACCCAAAUCGAUUACAUUUUCCACUUUGGCGAAUGAGUCAAGAUUCUCCAUGUGUUCCAGCGAGGCAACUGCGAGCUACACAUGUAUGGUGAAACAAGCCUCGCAACUUCGUAAGUAACUCCAAAACUACAUCAGCACGUCUCUUGAACUUUGGAAACACACAGACGUGUUCCACGACCGUGAGGCGACGGAGUUAACGGGGCAGCGUUGCCGGAAAGACAAGAGUACCGUAACAAGGCCCAGACUGGGCUGCAUCGGCGUUCUGCCUCUAUUACAAGCGAGAGAUGUUGAACCGGCCAAGGUUAGGCAAGGCAGUCAGCGGGAGGAUUUUUUUUUUUUUGUUGUUGGUUUUGAAGAGGCGCGGGAGGAGAAGAACUUGCUUGACCAGCCCACAAGAUCGUGAACCGGUAUGACAUUGACAUUUUAUUUAGGGCCAGUAACGUGUAAUUAGAAGUACUAGCUUACAUCUCUUCCUUUUUGAACCGUCAGAUCUGCAACCAUAUCAUCUCUCCCCUUUGUCCUCUUCGCUAUGCCGAUUUUAGUGAAACGCCGCUGCCAAAUCUUCACAGGAUUGUGAACCGGCAGCAGCUUCGACCCUUCAAUAUUAUUAUUACAGCUAAAUAAAAGACUGAAAUUAUAGGUGAGGUCCUUUGUUCUAAUCGCCCAAGCGAGCAGAAGCCAAGAGAUUACGUGCAAGCAUAGCAUGGCCAUGUUCGCCAACUCAUGACAUAGUGGCACAGGGACUAACCACCUGGAUUACAUGGCUAGCUUCCAUAUAUGUGCAACAAAAUAUUGGUACCAGGCAGCCAUCUGUGCCACCAACCAUAAACUCCCUGAUCCCAAAAAAUACAAAAUACCAAGAGUUUCCACCCACAUCAGUACAAGUGCACAACAGUUUAAGAGACAAGCCAAGGAUCAUUCCCAGUUUGUGGGAAUAAAUAAGAGUCCGCAGCAAACAGAAAACUCAAAAUCGCUGGCAAAGUUAGGAUGUGGAAAAAAGAAAGGCUUAAAAUGAUCUAGCCAUGGCGUCAGAAUCUAUUAUCAAUGUUUCUCUCUCAAGGAUUUCCCUUCUAUAUAAAGUAUAAUAUUACAAAGGGGCUGCUUAAAUAUCAUGGACUCCUGGAAUGUAAAGAGGGUAAUAAUCAACACUACAUGAGCCUCCUUUUUCCUGAGGCUGCUUCCUAAGACUGACUGACUGCUUCCCCGAGGAUCCACAUACACCCUCCCCUCUCCUCAAGUUCCACCUCCCACCAUGGAAGUUAAACCCCCACCAUGGAUCCGAUGCUAACCAACUGUACGCGACCUGGAGAAAGUCAGUCAGCUUGGUGGUUCAAUCAAGACAGAGCAUCACGAUAUUGCCCAAAUGGUAUAAUUGGCAGGAUCAAUAAGUAGUUUAUGCUCGCAGCAAGAUCCAAAAGAACCAAUCUACCAUGACUAAUGUAUGACAAGAAUGAUGUCUUAUGUCUACUUUCAGAUACACUAUGGUCCAGGUGAAACAAUAUUUUAAAGUUUAGUAAUUACUGGCAGUAGUAGACAGACCACAGAAGUGUAAAGAUAUUUGCACACAUGACCUUUUAAUCCAAGGCUAACCCAACCUUGUAAGCUACGUGCUGUUUGUGCUAACGCUGCUGCUUGAAUGCAAUUAGACAGUGGUGAUGUCCUUGUUAGUCUGUUACAUACCUAAGGCAUCACCUCCUGAUUCUAGGUUUGCACCGGAACUCUGCUAAGAGCGCUAUGUGAUCUGAUGACCAUUCAGGUGAAGGAAGAGCAGUGUCUUUUCUUAAGCUCUCCUCAUCCAGAAGUUCCAACAAAGACUCCACGGUCAACGAAUCCGCUGAAACAAUAAAGGAAACAUGAUCAACUGACCAUAAUCAAACAUAUCACAAUACUACAAGCUGAUUCUGAAGCAAUUCCCAGAAGUCUAAAUACAGCAUACAGGUCAGGUACCUACCUGUGUAAAAUAUAUAAUCAACAGUUCCAGUGAAAUCCCUUGUGCAAUUUGUGAAAAGUGGUUCAUUUGUUCCUGGAUCCAUCCUCCUUCGCUGGUGCUCUAAAUCAUAGCCAACACCUACCAUUCUUGCAAAUGAAGAAUAUGCACUGACCUGCAAACAAGUAAACAUUGGUCAGAAUUUUAAAGGAAGAACAAGAUAGACAAGCUUGAUAGUUUUACUGUACCAGAGGAAGCUGGUGCGUCAACUUGCUCACGGGGCGUAAAAUUGAAAGUGGGUCUAUGGCCAGAUCUGGAUGCAAUUGAUCAACUUUGCCCACCGCAAGAAGCCCAUGUGGAGUACUGAAAGACAAAAGGAAGCACUUAGAGAUUUAAAGUUAGAAAAAACAAGUAAACCUGAAAAAUAUUGCUCCAAUAGAAUCUUGACAUGCACCUCCCCGGGAUUGAAUUGAAAUCCCCACAGACCAACAUUGGAAUGUCUGCACUGUUGGCUAUUUUCUCCAAUCCUUUUAGUAGUGUUUGAACCUGCAAAAAACAUACUUACUUUCGAUCUGAAUUUUUCAGAUGUUGCAGAAUGCUAGCCUACAGAGAAUGUGACAAUACUGACCUCCCAUAGUUUCACAUCUUUGAGGUCUUGGUGGACAUUUACAUGUGUAUUGGCCUGAAAUUUGAGAUCAUUUAAAAGAAUGAGACCUCCAUGACUCCAAGUAGCAUAAGCCUAGGCCGUAUGAACAAUGGGAAAUCUGUAGUAAAGUUGGCCUCAAAAUCUAGAGUCUAGAGAGCCAAGUCCCAAUCAUCCGCCAUUAACAUAUAGAUGUUUCCGUGCAUCUUAUGCUACUAAGGUCAUCCUACACAGAUAUAUGUUUCACUUCAUUCCUAAAUGUUGUGAGCAAAGAAGGAAAAGAAUCCAUAUGUUGUUCUGCACUAUGCUGCUAGCAGUUCAAUAGCUAAACAUACGGGAAAGUCCACUUUUGGCCCCUUAACUAUUGCCUCAGAUCAAAAUCAUCUAAUUUGCACCCUCAACUAUCAAAAGCAUCCAAGUUACAUCUGAAGGCAAUAUUUGUUAGAGGCUUUGUGUGAUGUGGCAUCCAUGUCAACGUGUUUUGCCACAUCAAUCGCUGCUGGGCAGUAGGGCCCACAUAUCAUGGCUGCCGUGCCCCUUCUUUCUUUAUAAUUCUUCCUCCUUAGCCAUGCCAUGGCCUCCUCUGUAGGCUAUAGCUUCCACUGCUGCUGCUACAGAUAACCCAUGUUUGACGUUGCAUAACAUCUUCUGAUUUAGAGAGGGGUAUCCUGACAGACAUGUACCAGUCUCCGCAAACCGCUGCACGGCUGCAUCCUGAGGGGAAUGGACAAAGAGAGGAUUAGAGAGGAAGGCUGAGGAGGGAGGCGUUUAGGGCGACUCCAACACGGCCACCCAAAUCGGACACAAAAAGUGUGUCCGUUUGGGUCUGCUGGUGCCCCUAACACGGUCACCCAUUUGGUCCGUUUUAUUAUUUAGUAUUGGCCACGGAUAGGCGGGCCAGGGCAAGGACAAGGGAGGACAAGCGCAGUGUCCACCCGCUGUCCGCCCAGACACAAACCCGGUCAGAUUUGGGUCGGCAAUGGGUUGAGCUGGACAGAAAAGCAGACAGCCGCCACACCGGACGAAAUGGGUCGCCGCGUUGGAGUCACCCUUAAUGCUAAGCUGGGAAAGAGGAAGGGAACAGAAAUAAGAGGAUGAGGACAAGGGAGGGAGAAAAGGGUGCUUCCAAAAAAUCAAUCCCAGGCAUGUGGGGCCUACUGCCCAGUGGAGAAUGAGAUGUCAAAGUUGCUGAUUUGGCGGCUACAUACAGAAUAUCACUCAUGAAACCAGCUUCUGGUCCUAUCGAACGGUUUCAUGAGUUGAUGGUUCAAUUUAGACCAGGCAAAAGUUGAGGGAUCAUAAUUAGGCUUUUCCAAACAUAAAUGAAUGUCAUGCUGUAAAAGUAGUGUUCGUCAUCCAGUAAACUGGUUCGAAUAUCCAACAAGCGCACAACUACUUUAUACACAUCUAAAGAAAGAACAGCUAUUUACAUACCACACAAAGGAGCUGCCUUUUACCAGGAGUUUCAGUUCCUUGGUUGCCAAAUUUUGCUUCUAAAACCGCAAUCAGCGCAAUAUUAUCCUUCAAAGCAAAUAGAACGUGUGAUAAAUAACAUCACUUUUUUUUGCGAAAAGUGAUAAAUAACAUCACUGUAGCAUACAUUAUUUCUUUUGAAGUUAAUCUUACUUUAAUCAGUCGACUUAAAGCCACUCUUUUCUGGGAAGCUGGAAUAAUAGCUUCUGUUAAAGACUGUGCAGCCUUAUUGAACUCAACCUACACAAGCAAGUACAAGUAUUAGAUAGCUGCAAAUAUCAAGCUGCUGCAAACCUGCAGUACAGGUACCUCGUAUUUUUUGACAUGUGAAAAUCUAUCUCUACGGAAGAAAGUAGCACAGCCAUCAAUGGCAUUAGGAACUCCAGCAUACACCUGUGACAACAGUAAAGUAAAAUCAAACAAGAGACAAAAGGUAUUAAACCAAAAUAUGAAGGAAAAAAUCAACCCAAAGAUACCUCUGUUGUCCGUUUCUUGUAAAGCGCCUGAUACCCAUGUUUAUCAAACUCAGGAGCAAAAAAAUCCUCAAAGUGGUUCAAUUGUACCUGAAAACAGUAGGACUUGGCUUAAUUCCCUCCUGUUACAAUCUUCGGUCACUCUUCGUUUUUAUUGUAAGCCGCUUCAGUAAACUCUUCAUAAUAUAUAUGCAGACAAUAUUCGUGAAAGUUUAAACAGCAAGCAAACUAUCAUAAAUUCAUAAUCCAACAUCACUGAAAAGUGAAAACAAUCAAACAAAGUGAUGGCACAAAUAUGGAAACGAACAGCCCAGCAGUAUAUGAAAGAUUGUAGGUUGAUGAACAGGGUUCCGGCAUUAAAGUUUACCGAGUCGCAAAAAUUAUAUGAUCAACCAAAUGAGACAUGCUCGGUUCCUAAAACAAAUAUAUGAGAUGAAAAGCUGAAAAUAGGUCACCAAAAUAAAUAAAUUCAGAAGAUAGCAAACAUAUGAUACCUCCUGAAGACAUAUAAUAUCAGCAUGAUAACCAAUAAUUUCGCGCAUCAAAUUUUGUCUUCUGUAAGUCCAUGAAAGUGCCCACGUUGGGCAGUAGCUAUAUGCAUCAGAUGUAGCAUAUGCAUCAGCAAGAAUAUUAUAGGACAGCACCGUGAAUGUCCCAAAAGAAGAAGUCUGGCUGUCUAUAUCUGAGUGACCCAAAACAUCUCCAUUCACUUGGAUAAGGCGGCGUGGAGUAGGAGUUGGUGCUGGAAUCACACGUGAUGUCAUAAUUGAAGUUGGAGACCCCGCAGGUACUUUCUUUUCCGUAUCCACCGCUGCACAUUCAAAUCUUAGAACAUGCCCAAUAUCAUCAGCAGUUGGUGUAUACGUCUGCGAGCGUCCCACUUCAAACCAUGUUUCACCCGAGUUCUUAUCAGUGCCUGAGGGAUACAAGGGAACAGGUCCAUUAUUAACUCCAGGGCUCUGUCCAAGAUUUGACAUUGAGCCAGACCCAGAACUUAGAAUCCCAGAACUACCGCUGCCAAAUCUACCAAAUAGCUCCUCCUCUUCAGCUCCAUUUUCAUUUAAAGCACUACUAGCUCGCUCAUGCAAAACCCUGUGGUGCUGCCAUGCAUCAGAGAAGCACUUAGCAGAACAAUGGUAGCUCUUAGCAGCAGGUAUUUUUGACUUGAGACAACCUAAGCACUGAAUUGUUGCUUGCUCCAUCGGAUGUACACUGCAGAUAGUAACUUUUCGAUCACUCUGUAUGCGAUACCUUCGAGCGAAAAGUCAAAUCAGUAUAACCAUGUGCUACUAGAUACAGAAAAAGUUUAGAAGAACAUGAUUGAAUAUAGUAACUACAAGAAAGGACACCUAAAUUGCCAAUGUUUUAGCAUGUAUGAGAUCCAGGAAAACUUGCUAUCAGCAUCUUGGAAGUCCAUUAUUCAGAGACAUUAGACUCACAACACUUCCAUUAUAAGCAUAGUAUGAAUAAGGCAAAAUGAAGCAGGUUGCCAAGAUGUCGCAAAAAAAAAGAAGCAAAUUACAAGUUUGCUUGUCAUGAGUUGCUGCUGCUGUUGUUUUUUCUUGAUUUUAGUCCCUCAACCGGCUAACUCGUGAUCAUUCAUCUCUUGCUUUCUUUACCAGAUCAACCAUGCAACUGAUUUCUUUAGCGGACCAGGCAAUAUAUGUAAUAAGCAAAAUUCUACAGUUUAGAUCAGAGAUUCAGAGGACUAUUGCAGGCUCUCAUAUAUCAUCAUUAGGGCAUGACGACCAGACAAGGAAGUUGCUGUGUAUAUUAUUAUUCCUAGAAGAAAAACAUUUAAGUACUGUUCAAGGAGGCGACCAACUAUAGCCCAGUGCCCACCCCAUCAAUCGAUUAGUGUCUUUCAGAACACUUCAUUUCAACAAUGUGUCUAUAAAUGGCCACACUUACUAUACUCAAACCUCAAACCUUAAAAGUGAAUAAAGAUGCACAUAUCACAUGAGAUUCUAUCAAGCUAAUGACUGAAAAGCAACACAAUGAAAAUAUAAAAAACUAUAGAAUUGAAGGACCAAAACCAAUGAAACUGCAUGAGUGUUAGUGGGACCAAGCACCACCAUUUCGAAAAGUUCUAAGGUCUAAAGUCUCAGCAAUAAAUGCUAUUUAAACCUACAUGACAUUAAAAAAACGGAUGUGAUAAAACAAAUAAAUAUUCACGAACAUGAUCAAUCAUUCAGAGCGGGAUUCUAAAAUUGAUCACUGAAAUUGUUCGGCCACCCAGCUAUUAGUGAUUAUACAGCCGAGCUAGCUCAUUGCAGUGGGUGGCAUAACCAGCGGUUACAAGUUCUUUUCUCUCAUAUUUGCCUCUCCAUUUUUCAUUUUUUUAUUUCCAAAUAGAUCUACAAUGUUAUUUGAAUUUUAAAAAUAAUAGGUAGGGCACUCCUUACAUACAUGACCUCCUAGGCCAUUUAAAACAAAUAUGCAUUGUUUGGGGUUUUUUAUAUAACAUAAAGUAAGUUAACUAUGACACACUGCCAAAAUAUUUUUGCAUAAAAAACAUUAAAUUUGAUAUAGCACAGAAAGAACGUGGAUAUCCAGCAAGAGAUUAAAGAAGGCAAAGUGGGGCAGGCAGUCAGCAAAACAAAACUAGUGGAUCACGAGUUUCAAACUUUUACUAGCUUUAAGCAACUGAAAUAACUUGCCACUGAACCUAGUGAGCCAACAACUCUAACGUGUAAUAGCAAACAAGUAAUAAUUCUUUUGAAGCUCCAGAAUAAUCAAAACUGAGUCUAGAAUCAAGCUAGAAUGCCCAUUUGAGUUCACUGGUGAUGUUAGAGUGAUACUUAGUUCAAGGAGUAUAUCCAGAUACCCCAAUCAAAAAAAUCAUCUGAAGCCAUGCGAACAAACUGAUGGCACUUCUAGAAUAGUGUCUUUCCACAAAAUUAGUUAGAUAAGCCUAUGUAAUCCCAAAAUUUAUAAAAUGCUCCCGUUCCAUCCAAGAUGAACGUAAACAUUCCUGCACAACGAUUGGCAACAAUCCUCAACCCAACAGCCUUCAUCACCAUCCUAUGAUGCUAUCUAACACUCAAUAGUUCUAGCAAAACCAAAAUCAGAUGGUCUGUUUUGCUCAAUGAAUUACUUAUUAUCAUUACCAACCCGUGUGGCAGGUUGAUAUGGCAUAGACUAAAUAGUAUGAUUCAUAAACAGGCUUAAAAUAAUGCAAUACUGAGUUCUUUACCAAAUCAAGCAUUGGCAUUUCAUGUUCCCUGGGUUUCCAUUCGUUCCAAAAACAAACAACUGUCUUGCUAGAGAAAAUCAUGCUCAGAAUUCAUAUAGUUGUGCUUCAUUUAUGCAAGAAUCAAGACGAUUCAUGAGUUUAGCAAGUAGUUAAGCAUCUAGCAAACUGAUUGAUACUUAAAGCCCCCAUUUUCUUUUUUUCUUUUUUGUCAAAAUUCACUUGUAGCAACGCACAAGCGGAACUAAGCAUUCGAAAGUGUAUAUCCUAUUGAACCAAAAGUUGCAAUCACGAGCUGCUCACUCACCAUCUGUAUCGCAUGAAGUGGCCAUCAACAGGCGCGGCCUCAGGCACGUCGUCGGUGGAGAUUACACCGUUGGGCAGCCGCAGCAGCACGUACGGGGUGAUUUCGCACCCCACGAUCGGGAUCUCCGACGGCAGGUGCACCCGCACCACGCUCAGCAUCCUCCACUCCUGCUCCCCUCCCCUGCUCUCCUCUGCCCAGCCCAGGGGCGGAUCUAGAUGGUGUGCCGGGUGGGCACCGGCACACCCAAAAUUUGUGGACGCUGCGAGGACGGCGGAAGGCCAGGGCGACGUCGGGAGAGGAGGGGAGCGCCGCCGUCAAGGGGACCGGGAGAGCGAGACAGGGUUAGGGUUGGUUGCCUGAGGGUAUUUUUGGGCAUUUCGAAAAUCUAGAGUUGUGUCCAGCGCAUUUUUUUUCUAAACUAGUAUUGCGUAAGCGGGACGGAGUGGUAAUGUUUGUGCAAGACAAGAGAGAGCCGGAGAGGAUGACAUGUUUUUUUUAACGAUAAUAUUAAAAACUAGUCAAAUGUCCAUGGGACAAACUCAUAUGCGAUACUCACCGCAUUUGUAGUUAUAGAUUAAUACCUUUUCAUAGCAGUUUGCAGAGAUGGAACCAUGAAAGGCGUUGCAGACGUAUAAUUCACUCGCUAAAAAAUCCAUAUUGAGAAAAUAAUUAUGUACUUGAUAGACUCGGUCUCACGAAGUUCUGGUAAGAAGCCGGUUCGGAGGGACAAAGUUCCAGAAAGAUGGCCGCAAUGUCACGCACGACCAGGCGAAUUUGUGAUAGUUUUUUUGUUAUGAAAAAGCAAAGUAUAUGUGAUCGGCAUGCGACCUUGUGGAUUGGGGUUGAAAGUGUUGGACUGCAGUGUAUACCUUCAACCCACCACGUCUUGAUUUAAAGGCCAAAUCAACGUAGGAUUCGGACUCCUUAACUAAAUACGAUUAGGAUUCCCUAUCUAUGUCGGAUUUGGUCUCCUAUUCUGUGAUUGGCAAUUGGGAAUUUAGACAUUAAUCCAUAGCUUCUCCAACUCUUUAGUGAUUGAACGUAACGGUUGGUACAAGCUAGGCUGGGCGCGAUGGGCUGAGGCUGAGGCAAACCAACCAUGGACCUCGUACCGUUUAGAUUGAAAAAAGGACAUGUUUUUUUUUGUUUAUCGAUCAGGACGGACAGGCGCACGCACGAGGGUGAGUUGGAGGUUCAGAUCGGUUGGGCUUAGUGGAAGUUUUAAUGAAAAAGGCCUACGGACGUUCGCCAUCACCACCGAUUGUAAUAUAAUAGACAUUGUAGAUUAGUUAUGAUUUGGACCACCGGGCACCGGAACCCAAGCUGCUCAAUUUUGGCAAAAUUUGCAGAAAGCAAACUCAAACCCGAUGGCUCCUAUGUAGAUGGGAGUGAACUCAGAGUAUUCUCAUCGUGUUGCUACAAAGCUUUUCUUUGAUGAUGUUCCCUCCGUUGUGUUUCCCUUGCGUGCUCAAGGACACAAUGUUGUGAUUGAGGAAAUUGUUGAUGACCCUAGCUCUGCCAUCUUCCGUCCGUAAGUGAGGGCACAAGCAGCGCGUUGCUACUCCAGAAGUAACUUCAGGUCUGUGCCAUAGUUCAUGCUCUACCAUGUUUAGAGGAUUCAAGUCCUAGCUUGUUUCUGAUGUGCAGAAGAAACAGUCCAAGUGUCGAUGUUAUACAUUGUCAGAAUAUGAUUCGGGAUAGCACACGACCAAGGAUUACUACUACUCUUGAUGGCAACAGUCUACGUGUUUAUCAUUUGUUGGAACUCCAAGCACAAAGUGAUGUAACAAAGGGUGUUUUCCCCCACAAGUGUUUUACCCCCAACAAGCACCACAAUGGUUGUCAAUCACAAUGAUCACUAUACAGAAUCACUUAUUUCUGACGCGUUAAAAAACUUCUAGUCUGACGCAAAUGGGACGUGUCACUAAUCAAGUGUCAAAGAUGACUCGGGAACUUCUGACGUGUCAACAAGCGUCAGAAGUAGGAAACCCUAAUGACGCUUCUUGUCGAUUGUUAUUAGAGACAAGUAUCCUCAUGUCGGGUGAAGGCCAUGUUUGUUUGAGCUUCUGCUUCAGCUUUUGGUGGUUCUAGCUCUCUAAAAAGCACUGCUUCCGUUUACACAUGAAGCUGAGAAGCACGUCGUGAGGUGCUUCCCUCCAGAAGCUGCAGGAAGCACCUCCAGACGUGCUUCUCAGCUUCAUGUGUAAACGGGAGAAAUGCUUUUUAGAGGGCUAGAAGCAGCAAAAGCUGAAGAAAAAGAAAAAGCCCAAACAAACAGGGCCGAAGAUGAGUAAGAAGAUAGAGGGGCCUCACGGUGAUAUCUACUCGUGUAAGAUAGAGAACUCGGCGAAAGACAAGGGUUUAUACCGGUUUGACUUGCUCCUUUUCGUGAAAGCAAGCCUACGUCAUGUUGGUAAUCUAAUAUUUGUGUAUGAUAUUACAAGGUGUGUUCUGCCCAUCGAGGGCGCCUAGCCCGCUUUAUAUAGUCAAACAACUAGGGUUUCGGGUAGAGCCGGGUACAACUUUUACAUGGACUGUACCUUCCUAAACUAGUUAGGAUUCUUCCUUUACAAGAUAUCUACAACUAGUAUUUCCUAUUACCUGAACUAGGCUUCCUUCUUCAAUACGACAACUUCCUUGACCGAGUGAUAGGGGAUGUCUGGCUUGUGCGCUGAGUCGACUUUCUCUGUUCAGUCGUCUCUCAGCUACCCGGCUAGAAUAUCCUCGUCAUUAGCCCCGAGUACAAUGUGGAUAGGGGGGAGCUGAAUAAUGCCAUCGUCGUCAAUCUCGAAUCUUUCUCGUUUCAUGUGCUUUUCUUGAGUUGCUUCUUCUUGAUUUUAUUCCGACCUCAAAUCCACAAUGUACUUCUCUAUGACAGCUUGAGGUUCGAGCUCAUGGCUUCUUAUGCAUAAAGUUCAGCUAUAAGAGCAAACCAGCUUCUAUGUGGCAUGUGUUAGCAUUGCAGCGAUAUUAGCUCCUGUUUUGAUUUGUGUUUUUUCCUUAGCUGUAGCGUUGCUUUGAAUUAAUUAGCAACUACGUCGUGCAUGUAAAAAAAAGUGAGUUCCAACAAAUCUCUGACGUGCGCUAGAACAAGAGGUCAGUGAGCAUCAAAAGUAUACUGACGUGGCGACACAAGGAAGAGCUAGGAAAUUCCUCGUGAACAAAGUUGACGCUUCCACAAAGGAAAGAGUCACAUCAGCUAGAAUCUCCUUCGACGCUUACGAAGUAAGGAAGCGUCAGUAGAAAUGAAGAGUCAGAAGUGUGGAAGUUCUCCUACGCUUCUCCGAGGUAGGUGUCAGAAAUAUCUUAUUGACGCUGCCUCGUGGAUGCUACCUAUGACAGUCCUUAUAAGGAGCCGCAGAGAUAAGGAUUUGCGCUGACGCUUUUUAGUUUUGUGUCAGUGGGGAGCUUGCAAGAGUAAAGUCUAUAGUAGUGAGUGUAAGGCUAAACUUUAAAUAAACAAAUAAUAACUUUAAGUAAACUAAUGCAAAACAAUAAUUUAAACUAACUAGAAGAUGCAAUAACUAUAUAAUAAAUACUACUACUUAUUAUGCAACUAAAUAACCAAGAGAGAAUGUUUAAAUGGCUUUUUACAAGAUAUCUAAAAAAAAGCAAUUAAAUAAAUGCAAAAUAAUUGUAACAGAGGUGUUUCUUAUGAUAUUAAAGAGGACCAGGAUACUCUUUGCGGCAUGAAUAUAGCACAUAGGACAAGUUCAUUUACUUUGCAAUGUUUUUAUGAAGUGAAUGAUAAGCAUUCAUAUGGACAUCACGUCCUAAUAUUGAGAAUAUGCAAAAUAUCUCACUAAUGCUCCCUUGGUAAGUGACUCAUCAAACUAGAUUAUUGCUUUAGGUACUUUGACAUGAUGUUGAACUUUAAUGCAACUUUGAGCAAGCAAGACCACCAUUGUUGUCAUUUGGUAGCAUAAUGCGUAUUCAUUUAUCCCUAGCGGGUCAAAUCACUGAAAGGUGAAAAUCAUAGUGGUUCCCAAAAUUUUUGUCACUAUCCGGUUGCCACUACCAAUUGCUCUAUCUAAUACACACAUCCCCACACAUGCACAUGUAAACUAGUAUGAUUAGUACAAGUAAGCAAGAAGGGAUAGACAUAUGCAUCUAUCAAUACAUCAAAACACAAUCCAAACAUUGCAAACUCAUGACUCAUCUCAUAACAAAAGGUUCACCAAUAAAAAAUAUAACGAUGAUCAUAAUCAUGAUAGGAAACUCGUAUGAUUCUAUUACAACCCAUAGCCCAGCGAGGACUACUCCCUCAUCAUAUUGGUGAUGAUAGAGAAUAUGUUCAAGGAGAAGGAGAGGCGACCGAUGGUAUUUUCCCUUCUAAUCUUGGAUCAAUCUGAUGUUGUUUUUUUUCUUUCCGAGUCGUUGUGCUAUGCAAGCGCAAAGCACGGGGUAUUAAUAAAUGGUUUUAGGUCAAGACGAAUCUUCGGGUGAAAGAAUGCACUUGCGGGCGGCCACUCGGGAUAAAAAACAACCAUGGUGAAUUAUGAUAAUCUAGUUUUUUCGACUACUACCUCUGAUCCUAAAUUGUUGUCGUGGUUUUACUUCAAAUUUGUACUAAAACCACGACAAGAAUUAAGGAUCCGAGAGGUAGUUUUUACCUAUUUUUCAAUUCGGCUUACCUAUUAUUUUCUAAUUUUCUUUGUAUGUUUUGACAAAUUCAGCACACUUCAGCAACCCAAACUGAACAUUAGUCCCGUACAGGAUUCCAGAGUGCGUUGUACGCAUGUGUUAGUAUAUUCCUAAGCAAGCAAGAAAAAAAUAAAAAGAAGCAAAUAGUAGCAACUAUCGGUUGAUCCCGGCCCUGGGCCAGGACAAGAAGGGCGACAGCCCGGGCCCGCCCAAUCCAGGGGACCAGAUCAUAUGUGUAUACGCUAGUAGAGAUACAUGUCCAAAUAUUGAUUAGCAUAAAAGAAAGAGGAAAAAAGCUAGAGGCCCAGCAGAUUGCUCCGCUCCUGGCCAACCCAGGACGUAUCAACGUGCUCGAAAAUUCCCCUUGGCACCCGGUAUCCAGGCCUAUGUGUAUCUCAGCCGACCAAUUUUCCAUCCUACGGCUCCAUCCUGCAGCUCCUGUCGUCCGGCCCGUUUAAGUAUACAAUUUGCUAUUCUCCCGUACAGGCGGUAUUUGCACCGGUUGGCCUGACACAUCCUUUUUUAUAUUGCGUUUCCCAGGCUGGCUGGCCCAAGUCCCACCUCGCGCAUUGCUGGGUGAGCACAAGUCCUUUUCUCCCGCUGCAUACCGUGGCACAGGUCUGCCCUUGAGACAUCGCAUUAAAUUUCCAUCAGUCCCAUUUUUUUGGCCCAAGAUUUCUGGGCAGGCACAGGUCCACGCCAUUGGGGGGGCGGUGGCGCGGCUGGCGAGGCCGACGUCGCGGCUGUCGAGGGUGCCUGCCACGGGCGAUGAGUCACCGAGUCAGGCUUCGGUGCCCAGAGCUGAAAAGCGUGCCGCGGUAGACGAUGUUGGGCGCCUUAAUGCCGUGCUCGGACACGAUUCGGUCGGGGACGAAGCUGUCAGUUCCCGCGCAUAGCUCAUCAAGGCUGUACUCUGUGAUCAUCGGCACAGCACUGUCGUCUUCCCCAGUUUCCCCAUUCUCUAUUUCUCUACACAGGGAAAGCAAACAGCAAGGGGAAGAGCAUCCAUCCUGUAAAGCAACGAGCUGCCGGCGAUGGCCUUCUCCACGACCGCGGAGCAACGCAGCGCCGUCCCCGUGCCUUCGCUGGAUGCCCGCUCGCAGCUCCGUGAUGGACCGCUUCCGCACGAGCACCGCCCGCCCGAACGGGUCGUGCGCGUCGGCAAGCGCGAGGGCCGAGGGACACGUUGAGGUGGCCAAAGGCCGGGUCGCUAGGGAAGAACUCCGAGCUGCAGACCGGGGGCGCGGGGCAGGGACGGAUGUUCGGGCAUCGGCCGGACCUCCUCCGUUGGCAGCUUCCGCAGGCGAGGAAAACUUGAGGGGCAACGGCAGAUAUUUGGGAUUUGACGUGGGUAUUGGUGCUCCGAUCUUUCCAUCAGAUUGAUAACUCUCGAUUUGGGUUGAAGAUGACGUUUGACGAUCCGACUACGGUCUAAAAGACAGCGCCUUAGUAAUCAAUACACCAACUACAGAGAGUUAUUGAUCACGCGGGGCACGAUCAACCUGACCACGAAGGUUUUUAUUCCUGCAAGCAAUCGAAAAACAAGCAAGACCAAGAUAAAUAGUGGAUGCAAUCUGAAAUUGCGAAUAUACUAUAUCAAACCAAUGUCUCAAUGAGACGAUAAGUUGGGAUUUCGAAAGUGGUAAAGCAGGUGGUCUAGCCGACAUAGACGAUUACACGAAGUUGUAGCGAUGGCUAACUUUUAACUAAACAAAACCCAAGUCUCCAUAGGGAGGCUAGUGGGGUAUAUAAAAGAGGAGGGAGAGAGAUUUUCGCCCACCUUGAGUAAGGAGGCCGAAAUCCAAAUCUAUUUCUAACUUUUCUAACAAACUAUAACUCUUUAGGAAACAAAAAAACAGAUCCGUCAUCUUGUUUUGUCUGCCACGGCCAGCACGCGUCGAAUCUCCUUGUGGGGUCAAAUCUGUUGGAAAGGUCUUGUAAUUACCUUUCCAACAAGUACUUGUUUGCUUGAUUUGGACUCUGAAUGCGGUCUGGGUGAUUAAAACAAAUUCGGAUCUCCUGACAGCUCGGACCCGAAUCGGAUUCAACUUUAAUUCGUGAUAUCUUUCACUAGCAAGCUCCGAACCAUGUGCCGUUCGAUUUGUUGGAAAGUAGACUUGAUAGGCUUCACCUUGCAUCUCCCGUUGCAUGCUAUCGCACCUCAUCUUCACUUUGGAUUUGAAAAGCUCGACCAAAUAUCUACAUAAUAAAAUGAUACAAGAUAGUAGCUCUGCCUCUUCAUGCAUAUGGCAUUGAAAACAAAUAGUACUUGACUUCACCUGAUUAUAAAAUGUUAUCGAAUACUCUAGAACUGAGGGUGCCAAAGGUUGUAUCUAUGGUUAGCAUGUCCAUAUCAUCUUCCCUUUCUUGAAACAAAAGCCGUCCUCGGUGUCGUUUGUGCUGAAAAGAGACUGACAAAACAGACAAAGUGUGUGCAUGGGUAUAUGUACAUGUCAUCCAUCUUUAUACAUCUCCUUUCUUGCACAAUUAAUGUUUUAUAAAAAAAUCUCAUGAGAUAAGUAGUCAAACAAUCAUCAUGAAUUACAUUCCAGCAAGAAGAUUGACAAUAUGUUUUGCAUAUAUAAGUGAAACAAUAUCUUAUACUAGUAAAAAGCCCGUGCUUUGCUACGGAAGAAGACUUUCUUUUAAAAACAUGCUAUAGGUUAAUUUUCAAAUAGUCGGCUGACUUGGGCUUGCGGGGCUGCGGCUUGGGCUGAAAGGUGGAGAUGGGGUUGGUGGGCCUGAAGGGGGCUCGGGGUUGCUGGGUUGCUGUGGGAUCGAGGCAGCGGGGAGGUUGAAGGCACGGGAGCAAGGGGAGGCAGUGCCGGCGAGGUGGACGAUGGGAGCAGCACGCGAGGGUGCUGGGCUGCCACGGUGACUGGAGCUUGGCGACAACGUUGGCGGAUUGCAGCAGCGAGGGAGAGGAGAAGAGGGCGCAACGAGUAAUGAAGGCAGGAGCGCCAGAGAGAGGAGGCGGCUAGACAGAGGAGAUCGGGAGGGAGAAAGGAGCUCGAGGGGAAAGAUGAAGGAGCAUAGGGGAUAUCGGGGAGGACCGGCUGCCUGGUUGGGUGGACGGGCAGGACAAGAAAAGGGGACGAGAGCGAGAGGGAUAGGGUUCGAGGAAGCCCGCAGAGGUUAGGGCUCGGGGGUCAGACGGAUGUUUUUCGGGACUGGGGAUAUGCAGUGGCAUAUUGAGCGUAAUUUUAAUGGAGUGACGUACCGCGACACCUGUACCAUCACCACCAACUCCAAUUUAAUAUAUUUGUAUAGAUUUAGUUUGCACCGCUCACCAUUAUACCAUCCCAACACUGGAGAAUAAUAAUUAAUGGUACCCAAAUUAGUUACUACAAGAUGCUGAAAUUUAGAGCAAGUCAAAGCAGUAAUAUUCAAACAAUCGUGUAAACAACUAUUUGGCAAAUAAUCAACACCAAUAUUGGAGAUCAUAUCAAAAUAGUUAAGCAUAUGCAAGAAUUUAUUUUCUCCCAAGAUAGUAAAAUUAUCACAAGUAAUACAAAUUUCAUGUACCAAAAAGUUAUUAUUCACAUCAUGUUCUCCAAUUAGUUGAAUAGUGGAUCCAUGAACAUUAGGAAAAGAUUUUGAAAUUGUUAACUUGGACACUUUUUCCAUUGCAUAUGAUAAAUACAUAUGUGUAUCAAGUGUAAUAUAACACAAAGAAUUAAUAGGUGGAUCCUUAUGAAUCACUCCAUGUCUAAUUAACUCGACACAACCUAAGCCAAAUUUAUCUAUCUCACAUGUUUCUCCCAAAGCAUUAGUUCUGUCCUGACAUGAUUCAUGCUCAUCAAUAUCAAAAUUAAUAUGUGCACUAAAAUCAUUAGAAAAAUUAAUUUCAGCACUAGGUGUACUCAAAUCAGCAUGUAAAUCAACAAUUUCACAUGGUGCAGAAAAUUCACCGAGUAUCUCAUUUAUUUCAUCACAUGUCAUAUUUAGUUCAGGAACACAAUCAUCUUUACCAUUACCUUGUGGUCUCGACUCAUUUGUAGUAGACCUUCACUGUAAUUUCCUCUCAACUUCACGAGCAAGAUUAAGCAAACACAAAAAAGAGUCGUAUUUUCCAUAUUCAAUUAUGUAAGAAAUAUCAAAGUUAAGCCCACAAUAAAACCUAUCCAUUUUUGUUUGUUCGGUUUCAUCUAAACCAGAUCGCAAGGUUAGAAUUUGGAACUCCUGAUAGUAAUCAUCAACAGUUUUAUCAUCUUGUUUCAAACGUCGUACUUUUGCACGCAAGUUACAAGCAUAACUAAAAGGGACAUAUUUUUCUCUCAUGAUUUUCUUCAUAUCAACCCAAGUGUGAGGAAUUUUCUUUUCUCUAACUAUCUCACUCCACCAAGAUAAAGCAGCAAAAGUAAAUUUACUACUAGCAAUUUGGAACUUGCGACUAUCAAGUACAUGGAAGCAUGUGAAUUGUUCAGUUAAAGCUAUCUCCCAAUCUAUAUACGUUUCAGCAUCAUUUUCCCCCUUAAAGAAAGGUACACACAAUUUAAUUGUAUUGGAAGGAUUGUUUCGUACCGUUGCCGUCGCAUUGUCAACAAAAGACGUGGAGGAUGGCCAUGGUGAAAAGCACUCAUCGCGGUCACGGGAUUGCAUCGGUCUAGUUCCCAUGCUUCGUGUAAGUCCUGUCAUUGUUAGUAGAAAACAAGAAACAAAUCACAGUAAUAUGUUCCUAUCAACUAAUAGGAUGUGGCUACAAGUCGUUCAACUCUCAAGCUAAAAAUCAAGUUCUUACAAGUUCUUACCAUGCAACAAGAAGGUGAUGGCCAGCGGCUUGACCAAGCCCCUCCGAGGAUUAAAUGUAUCAAUGCCUCGGUAACAAACCAACCUAGGUGUAGAAUCUGUGUAGCUUGGAAGCUUUUGUGAGUAGCAAGGAAUAGCAAAUAAUCAAACAGCAAUGCAAAGUUGAAAAUAUGCUAAAUAAUGCUAGUCCUAACUGCUGGAGUCGAUAAUAACGAAUUACAGAAAUAAUCUAAGCCUAGAUAGUGAAGAAGGUAGGAUAGAAAGAUCAAAAUAAAGGUAAAACAACUAAAUCUCUAGGAUUUUUCUUUUCUUUUAUUUAUUUAUUUAUUUAUUUUUGUGGCCUUCUGUUUGGCUUCUUAUUCUUUUCUUCUUUUUUUAUUUUUUUAAUCCCAGAAACUCAUGCAAAAGAAGUAAAGACCGGAAAACUGCACGUCGGUCUGUCGAAGAACAGCAAAGGGUGCUGUAAGAAAAUGUCAGAAAAAUAUGGAAAAAUAUAGGUUAGGAGCGUAUCGAAACAAGCUUUCCAGGAAGUGCAAGAUCACUCAAAUCGGAGGCCGGACGAUGGAGAUAACGUAAAAACACCGGCCUGCAGCGAUGCCGGAAACCGGAUGCAGAAACUUGGAAGCUCUGAAAGUCCACCUUACAAACCGAGUUUGAGGGUCAAGGAGUCAGUGCGAUGCCCUGGAUAUUUUCUCGUGCGCUUCGUCAUGAGCUUUCCAGAAAGUACUAGAAGGUCCAAAUCUGAGUUGGUGACCGUUUUACUGAACACGGGUCAAACCCACUCGAAACUAUAAUUCUCCUGAACGUGGAUCUGAAACUGAUUCUUUUUCUCUCUCUUUUUUUUCAUUUUUUUUCCUUUUUUUUCCUUCCUUUUCUUUGCUUUUUUUUCACAACUUUCCGAACAACUUGAUCUCUAAACAAAAUUCGAUCUAUUAUGAAACACUUUCCAAAAGCACUCUCGAUUGGACUCGGACUCGAACCCGGAGAAGGACUCGGUGUAUGACUCGAUGGAAGAUUAUGGCGUGGCGGUGGUGUGGCAGGGAGUUUGGCGGCAGAAAAUUGAGGAAGGAAACCUGCGUCACACGAAGAACAAGAAAACCAAAAGCAAGUUCGAUCUAGUAGAAAAAGUCUGAAAAACGAUCCAAUCUAAUCCAGCAACUCGACACGAUUAAUGCAGCAAAGGUUCAACAAUGCAAAUACUAAUGUGAAAAUUGCAAGGCUCAGAUUGGUUUUUGGGACGAAGGUAAGUAAUCUCUACUUUUUUAUUGUCUUUUUCUGGACUAUAGGUAAAACAUAUCUAAACUAUGGAAAAAUACCACGUGAUGUGGGUCGGGGUGGCCCGAUAUUUCGAUGAGAUUGAUAACUCUCGAUUUGGGUAGGAGGUGACGUUGACGAUCCGACUACGGCCUUGAAAGCAGCGUCUUAGCAAUCGAUACACCAACUCCAGAGGGUUAUUGAUCACGCGGGGGCACGAUCAACCUGACCACAAAGGUCUUUGUUCCUACAAGCAAACGAAGAACAAGCAAGAACAAGAUAAAUAUCGGAUGCAAUCUGAAAUUGCGAAUAUACUAUAUCAAACCAAUGUCUCAACGAGACGAUAAGUUGGGGUUCCGAAAGCGGUAAAGCAGGUGGUCUAGCCGACACACGCGAUUACACGAAGUUGUAGCGAUGGCUAACUUUUAACUAAACAAACCCAAGUCUUCAUAGGGGGGCUAGUGGGGUAUAUAAAGGAGGAGGGAGAGAGAUUUUCGUCCACCUUGAGUAAGGAGGCCGAAAUCCAACUGUAUCUCUAACUUUCCUAACAAACUACAACUCUUUAGGAAACGGAAAAACAGAUCCGUCAGCUUGUUUUGUCCGCCACGGCCAGCACGCGUCGAAUCUCUUGUGGGGCCAGAUCUUUUGGAAAGUUCUUGUAAUUACCUUUCCAACAAGUACUUGUUUGCUUGAUUUGAACUCCGAAUGCGGCCUGGGUUAUUAAAACAAAUUCGGGUCUCCUGACAGCUCGGACCCGAAUCGGAUUCAACUUUAAUUCGUGAUAUCUUUCUCUAGCAAGGUCCGAAUCAUGUGCUGUUCGAUUUGUUGGAAAGUAGACUUGAUAGGCUUCACCUUGCAUCUCCCGUUGCAUGCUAUCGCACCUCAUCUUCACUUUGGACUGGAAAAGCUCGAUCAAAUACUUACAUAAUAAAAUGAUACAAGAUAGUAGCUUUGCCUCUUCAUGCAUAUGACAUUGGAAACAAAUAGUACUUGACUUCACCUGAUUAUAAAUAUUAUCGAAUACUCUAGAAUUGAGGGUGCCAAAGGUCGUAUCCAUGGUUAGCAUGUACAUACCAGGCUUGCAGUACGAUGCCCGGAGCUGGGGGAGAUGGCGCUGCACAUGUCGUAUCUGAAGGAGGCGGCGAUUGAGGUGAAGAAGACGGUGGGGGAUGAGACGGUGACAGAUGGGGAAGAGAGGUAGAUGAGGGCGAUGAAGGGAAUAUGCCCUAGAGGCAAUAAUAUUGUAUUAUUAUAUUCCCAAGUUUGUAAUUGAUGUUUAUAUUUCUAUGCUAUAAUUGCAAUGGUUCUUGAACGUGAGAUUCGGAGGAAAACUCAUUUGCAUGUGUGGAAACAUAAACCCUAAUUUAAAGGUCCCUAGUCACGCCUCUUUGACUAGCUUAUAUAUAAUUGAUGAUUCUGUUUUCCUGAUCAUGAGCAUACGAUGCUGGUUAUAUAUGAGAGCACAUUGUUGGUUGAACAAUGGUGUUGGAUUGACCCAACUAAUGAUAUACCGAGAGAUCACAUCGAUUACUUGUUAUCGGUAUUAUUGUUAUUGUUGUAAUUAUCAUUAUCCUUAGACCAUGAAAAUAUCGUAUGAUAUUUAUAUCGGAAGGAUAAUUUGGGUGUUACUUAUUGUUUCCCGUAAUAGGGUUAUCAUGACGGUGAUUUCCGGGUACUCCGGAAAGUACGAAUUGAUUCGAUAGUUCAAGAUUGGGAUUUGCUCCUCUAUCGGUGGAGAGAUACACUAGGGCCCACUCGGUACGAAGAUAUCUAUCACCGUCUGGCCAGACACAAGAAUGAUAUGAUCAUUGAGAUAUCGGAGUACGGAAUGAGUUAAAAGUACAAAACCGGUAACGGGGAUAGCUAGGUACAAGUGGAACAAGGGUUGGUUCACGGGCGUACCGGAAGUCUCACCCCGGGUUUUGUAAACGUAUCGUGAAGCAAAGGGAAAUGGUUUUUAGUAACAAAUGGUUCACUUGAAAGUCUUCGUGUAUGUGUAGUAAUUAUUGAGAGUGUCCAGGCUCUUUAAAUAAUUAUUGACUGGGUCAUAGCUACACAUUUCCCAACCUAGGCGGUCAGACGCUUAACGACGAAUGGUUAUUUGAAGGUCUAAAGUUUGGAAUUUGGUCAAGAGUUGAAUACUGAAGUUGUUCAGAAUGACGAGACAUAUUUUAUGGAGGUCCUAAAUGUGAUUUAGGAGUUACAGAAAUAUUCGGAGUAAUCAUGAGUGCUUCCGGAAGGUUUUAGAAGCCUCUAGAAGGAUCCGAUGGAAAUUCCGGAAGGUCAAAUGGCAAAAGGUCAAAAGUCAAAGGUGGGUCAAACCCUGGUCAAAGGUUGACCAUGGGGGCCAGCCAUCUUGGUUUGGAGAAGGGGUUAUAAGACUCCUAUUAGGAGUUCAUAUCUAUUCCUAUUAGAGGUAGGCGUGCUACUCUUUUUGGAGGAGGACUCUUUUCGUCCUUUGGCCGGACGCCCUCCUAUAUAAGGAGGGGAGGGGUGGCCGGUUAUAGGGGCACUCUCGCUAGUUGUCCUUUGCCCGUCAAGUUCGAGCUCUCUCAUCUAAAGUUUAGACGUCUAAUUAGUAAAUCGUCUACUUUCCGAUCUAGUUUCUUCCAGCGGUUCUUCGUACUGGACGUGAAAGUGCUGCUGAACUAUUCCUCCGGGACGUGUGGAUACGUGUGGAGAGAUCGCCCACUUCGAUCUUGCAGGCGGAUCGCUGUUCGUCUACUUCAAGCUUUCAGGCGCAGCAGAUCGUGCGAGGAAUAUUCUCACGGCUGGGCGGUAUAACCUAACUGCGGGAAUCUGCUACAGGCUUCAACGACAAUCUAUUUCCGCUAUGGUUUUUUGGUAGAUGAUCAAUCUAUCGCAUCCGCAUAGUGAUCUUGAUUGGUUCGUUCGUAGGAAAAUUUUAAUUUUCUGCCUACGUUCCCUUUCAGGCGAAUGGAGGCGGUGGAGGGACCCGAGACGUGGGGUGGGCGGCCUGCUGUGCGUAUUUUAUUUAUUUUCUUUACUACUACUACUACUUAAGCCACAGUUAUGUCCGUGGUUUACCGUAAGUCCUCCCACCCCCCACAGAAAAAAAAGUCCUGAAAAAAUCCGGUCCCCCCACCCCUUCUGAGGAAACAUUCGCCCAGAAGGAAAUAUUCAAUCAACCAUCAAUUGAUUGAGUUCAAAAGAUGACCCAACGCAUUAGGCAACUCUUGGAGAGAUUUCAGGAGAGUAUGGAAAGAUUGUUAGGAGUUGGCCGAGUUGUGGGAGUGAUUUCAGGAAAGGACAUCUUGGUUAGUUGCACGUAUAGCGUGAGUUUAGGGGCUAACGGUCUGAGAUUGGCUGUUAUUUAUGGCAUGCUUUGUAAUCUUGUUUUUGGAAACAGAAAGAGGAAUAGGAAAGGAGAAAAUCUCGGGCUGUGAGAGGCAGCCUCGAGGCCCAAACCUUGCCUUCCUUAUGUUCGUGGUGUUGCCAAGAAAAGAGAUAUCGUGAGAGAGGGAGCUGCAGCGACAGAGAAGAAGAACUGGAGUUGCAGAUUCCUGCCGCGGCAGGAAAUAUUCUGCCGCGGAAGAAAAUCUGCAGGCUGGAGCUGCGUGAGGUAGACGGGGAAGAAGAAGGGGAGCAGCAGCGGCUAGCUGCUCCAACAUAGCCUUAUCAGUUGCCGGGUAUUAACUGGACAAUUCCUAAUCAUGCUUCAUGAAACGGUGCUAAAACAUUGUCCUGUGUCGCAAGUCCCAACAAUCCUAAUGGAUUUCAUUCUGCCGAGUCAUUAAAGGUCUGUGCUUGUUACUCCUAAUUCUGAUCAUAGUUAUUGUAACGUGCUUCUAUCUAGAAGCCGAUGUACACCUAUCAUGUUUGUCAGUUAUAACUUUGUAUGCUUUAAGAAGAUCUAUUUUGUACUUUGGGCUAGGUAUUUUCUACUUCGUAUGCUUCAAGGAAGGUAACUGACUGAGAUGAGAUGCAUAGUUGUUGCCAGAGAGAAGGGACGUUAGCACGUGGCAAACGUGGUUAGCAAUAAAAAUGCAAUCAGAGAGAAGGGAAGUUGGAGAAUGAAACAAAUAUUUAUUGUGAUAGGUUAAAAGUUAUACACAAUUAGUGUACAUAUUUAUUUUUAUUUAUUUAUUAUUUUUCGUUGCAACGCACGGGUACUUUGGCUAGUAUAUUUAUUUGGAGAACAUCCGUAUUUUAUUUGGUGGGCGAUGGAACAAGACAGACAUGUACCAUGCCUUCUUGGUUUUGAGUUGGUCCAGAAACAUCUCACAAAUGGUCCAACAACCCAACACAAAUGACCUAGUAUUACUCACUGUUCUAUACCAAUAGUGGGCCAAAAAGCGGAAAUUCCAUUUGGGUCCUGGGACCCCCUCCCUAUCUCCAUCAUUCCGCCGAUGUUUGAUGUUUGCUUUUAGACCCUGUUUGUUUGGGCCCUGAUGGUCGCCCUUUGCGUAUUUGUGAAAUCAUAGGUGAUGUGUAACAUUGGUAAGUAUUUUAGAUGAAACAUUGAUGUGGAUACUUUGGCUAAUAUGGAUUGACGAAGAUGUAACUUCGACAAUGUCCAUAUUGAUGGACUUGUAUCAAGGAAAGAGGAGUGUGUGUUGGCGAACUCGUCGGCUAACAAGGACACAGGGGACACGAUUUACCCAGGUUCAGAGCCCUCGAUGAGGUAAUACCCCUACGUCCUGCUUGUCGGAUCUGUAUUGAUGAGUCGAUUACAAUAGGGUGCCGCAGAGUCUAGACGCACCGAGUCGUCGAGUGCGUCCAGGCGACUUGUAUCUAAGCUCGGGGGGUGUCCUCUUGGCUCCCCCUCCUGGUCCUUUAUAUAUGCAGGAACUCACAUCCGAGGUAGAGUCCAAGUAGGUUACAAUGAAAAGACAUACUCUAAUUAUUCUUCCUUAUCUUGAGUCGCAAGAUUUGGCAUGUAAACUCCUGGAGUCGAAGUAGGCUUCCUUGUGGGCCCCUAGCUGGGCUGUAUCGGGUAUACUCGAGUCGAGUACGUGGUUAGUCAUAACCACGUCAUGGAUACUUAUGUGAUGACAUGUAUCUUGUUUGGACUUAGUGGUUUGCUAUUGGUGUGUUGAUCCAUUAGUUUCUUAUGUAAAAACAUGGCGUGAGUUGUGUUGAAACUUACCUUGAGUGAAGUCGUGGACUUGUGCUCGUACUGGUUAUUUGUGUGUUCACUUUCAGGUGUUGCCGGAGCUAGAAGAACAUGGUCGGUGAUGGGAUCGAGGGACGAAGCUUGGGAGAAGCUGAGGUCAAGGGAUCAAAGUCAUGCGAGACGUUCAUGUGAAGGAACAAUGGAAGUGAAAUAUACGAUGAUUCGGGAGGGCACCGGUUUGUCGUAUGUUGUUUAUACCGGAGAUGUAUGGUAUUGUAGAUAUUUGACACGUGAUGGUCGAGUUUUGAAGACAUCACAAGAAGAGUCAAGGAGUCCAAACAAGACCAGAUGUUCCCUAUUGUUAUCGGGAACGAGACUAAAUGUUCGGCCUUAAUGAGAUGGACCUUGAUUCCUCUCCGGCCAGGAAAAGAUGCGGCUCCUCUUUGUUUUGUUCUACUACCUUCAUCCUCGGGUGAAGCCGGUUGGCUCACCAAACAAGAGGCCUACUGUUAAAUCAUUGGUAACCAUGCCUAACGGUCGGUCCUCUAAGCUAUCGGCCAAGGCAAGUGAGAGCUGUUCAAGAGUUGGGGGCAUAUCUUUAGCUCGAGUAGCAUUCGCUCCCAAAAUGUGUGGCAUCGACGUGAAGACAUGUAGGUCCAGCCGUGGCUGGAUGAGAGCUGUUUAAAGACUAAACAAUAGUGUCAUGAAUAUGGCGUCCGAUGGAAAAGUGGUCCAUAUGGAAGUUGUGCGCGUCGUGACGCUGUGUGAAUGCUUUCUUUUGGCCUACGGGCUCCUACCUCCACAUCGCGUGCUUCGUGACGCUGUGUGAAUGCUUUCUUGGAAUAAAUCCCCAUAUGGGUCUUUGGAAGAGAAUGUUCACCAUCAAGCGCCAAGGCAAGGAUGCGAUUGGAUGGGUGAAUAUUCAAACUCAUGCGGAUGCCAAAUUCUUCAACCUCCGAGAGAGGGCAUCAUCUUCUCGAUGGAAAUCGAGGUGGUUCUUUGUCAUGGAUGUGCCGGCCGAAGGACGCGACUUCAGUCUUCCCGAAUUCUCCGUGACCACGUCGGUGAAGAAGACGAUGGCCUGGAGUCAUAAAUUGGGAGGAACAGAGGGUGAAGAAGCCGAGACUCUAUUGGCCCGAGUUCUGUCUCUCAUGGAGACUCCUCAGUUGAAGGUGACUAGAAUUCACCUCAUUGCCGCUUUUAUCCGGAGAAGAAUUCAGCCUCUGCAGGCUCGUGCUCAUCCCAUGUGGGCAUAUCGGGGGGGUUCAUGACUCGACCCGAUUUAGUACCGAGGAAUUUCGUUCGACUGAAGUGUGUCGACGAGUUCGGCGACUUACUAACUUGGACGAGUCGGAGCCCUGCGAGAUUGACCCUCCAGUGGCUCCCUAUGGGCCUGACAGGUCCCUAGAAAAGAUGACCACCGAAGCGUCUGACAAGCCCUGCUGUUUUUUGGCAUGAAUUAUUUCUGAUCAUGGUUUUGAUUUUAGGGACCCGAUAAUGAUCUAAGCGGCGCUUCCCCACCGGCAAAGAAGCGCGGCAGAGGAAAAUGACUUGUCGGUACAGACCCAAAUGAUAAGCUUGAGGGACCCGAACGUCGGGCCGUCAGUGUCUGUACCUGCGCUCAAGAGAACCAAGUCCGACGGGCCAAUCGCGACUCUCGCUUUGGUCUUUUUGCAUGACUCAACCGUGCCAGGUGAAUCUUUUAGCCAUCUUACUUCAGUAUCCUAGAGAUUUUGACUGAACCUCUAAAAACUUCUUGAUUAGCCAUACUAGUGGCUCAGUUGAGAGCAAAAAGGCUCCCUGGACUCAAUCGACUGGUCAGGACUUGAAAGGGUCGGACCAGCCGACUAAACAAAAGACAGCCCAUACCAAGGAGGCUUCGGCGGCUAAUCCGAGCAGAGGAAGUCGACCAGAUGAGUCGAGCGUUCCUCAGGCGACGGUUCCUGCGUCGAGUCGACACGUGAGCAAAUUUGUCAUUUGCUAUUACCUGCCUCCCGGUGGGAGUGACACUCAAGAAAUGACUUGAGAUUGCUUUUUUGUUUGUAGCCAAUCAUCCGCUCCAUGGCAACUCUUAUUGAAGAGUUUGAGGAGACGAAAGCAGAUCGGGAGCGACUUCGAGAAGAGCUGAGUCAAUGAAGCGAUCCUCCCCCUUACAAGGGUUCGAUCUCUGUGCUUACCGUGCUAGUCCCUGGAUCGACUCACUAGCACACACAGUUUCAUGAUGAAAUAUACAGAAACAAAGGUCAAAAGUACUUUAUUACAUCGCAUCAUUCAGAAUUUAAAUAGUACUUACAACCUCGCAUGACCUCUUGGCCAGCAUAAAACAAAUACUGUUUCAUCAUCAUAAAACAAUGUUUCAAAACUGCAGCGGAAAAGGGUAGAACAAAAGGGCCUCAACUACUCCAAGGUGAGAGCAUGUUGGAAUGUAAGCACAUGACCCAUGACAAAACGACGAACCUCACUCAUCGUCGGAUCCACCUGCAUUGUAAUUGCAGCCACUACGUGGUCAAUACAUUUGAAUGUAUUGGCAAGUUCACCAGAGUUAUAAAGGACCUACCAAGUAUAUGCAUAAUUUGGCUAGGUGGAGUUUGGCUGUUUGCAUAAAAGCAUCAUAGUUCAAUCCUAUCAUUUUUAAACAAUUAGUUUUGAAUUCUAUUGGACACGGGAUAGAAACACCCAUGCUCCUAUUAACCUAGGCACAUUGAGUAGAAACAUCAAUGCUCCUACCCAGUUCAAACCAUUCUUUUUAUUAGGAAAUUGGAAUGAGUGAGACCUUUCUUACAGCCCCAAUAUCUAGUUGCUCAUAAUUGUCCGUAACCGGGGACACGGCUAAGUACUUAGUUUGACACUCUCGAGAGGUUGUACACAUUCCCCACAAGAAAUCGACGUGUUAAUCCCUUGCUGUCCUCAGGGUAGAGUAGCAACGGCAUCGACUACAGGAUUUUUCAGAACAUAAUCUCCCAGACCACCUGAUGGACGCGCCCCCACCUACACUGCUACAUACCGAUGUCACCUCGGAUCCGGGUUCAUAUUUCUUACAUCCAUCCUGGCAGAGCCCAUAAUACCAUGUGGUUGUACUGGAAUCUACUAAACAAGAAACUAGUCCAGUCUCUGGUUACCCCGGGUGGCAUUCCUCAGUUGCAACGCAGGCGCUCCCAUAGAAAUGGUGAGACGACUCAUAGAAAUGGACCCAUAGAAAUGGACCUGACGUCGCAUACAUCUCCACUUCCUCAAAGCAGCCCACCCAGGACGGUUUAUUGAAUUACUUGUUUUGCCGUACACUAGGAAAACCAUAUUGUAAUUCAAUAGUAUCACAUUGUAAUAAUACCACCCUCGUAUAUUAUCAUAUCCUAGCAUUUUACUACCACGAUGGCAAUUGGUGGUGGGAACAUGGCAAAGGUAUUCUACACUAUUAGGAGAAUCAUAGCAUAGCAUAGAUACAAUAAUAAUCCUAACAAUGCAACUAAUAAAAUCUAGUGCAUAAUAAAGUAAUACGUGAAUGAUCAAAGUGAACUUGCCUUGAUAGUAGUUGGUAUUCAAACACUCUUCGCAAUCACACAGUUCGUUCUCCAAGAAAACUAAUCAAAUACAAACAUUGCAUACAUAAGCACACAAUACAAUCAAGAGUAAAAAAGUAUGCCAUGAUGCAAUGUAAAACAUGUGACAUGAGCUUGGUUUAUUUUAUUUGAGUGAUCUACUGAUCCUAAGCAUAAGUAAUUAAAACAAAUGCAUUAGCGUUUUAAAUAGAAAGGCAAAGGCUAGGGUUUAAACCCUGAAAUAAGGUUUUAUUUGCGUCUGCAAAGAAAUUUAAUUCAAAAUAUUUAUUUCUCUGUCUUUAUGGACAGAGGAUAAUAAAAUAAAAUUUUGGGCACUGGUUUCAUUCAAAAAGGACUUCUAAAUAAUUAGUUAUGAUUUAAAUAGUAUUAUACCUUAUUCUGUAAUUUGAAUGUGAUUCAAAUUUUCAAAUUUAAAAAUGGACAGUGCCAAAAGAUUCUACACUUCCUAAGGAUUUCAAAAAGGUGUGGAUCAUCAAAUUUGGCCAAACAGAUUAAAAGAUAUGAUCAUUUGAAGUUAGAGGGGCUUUUCUGCAAAAGUGCCAUUUCUAAUUAUUCCGGGAAUUAAAAUUAGAUUUUCGUUUUAUAAAAUAGGUGCCACAUGUCACGUUCUCAUUGGUGCGUACCGGUUCGGUUAAAAAUAAACACGGGAUCUAAUCCUAGCCCUCGGAUCUGGAUCGGACGGACGGGGCGGGCUAGGGUUUACCUCCGUGGCGGCGGCGGUCGCCGGAGACGAGGGAGACGGCGGCGCGGGCACGGGCGGGCGGCUCCUCCGGUGAAGUUGACGGCGCGGGGAGGUGCUGGGUCGACACGGCGCGGUACGGCGAAGUCGGGGGCGAGGUCGGCGCUCCUCGGGGUCGUCGGGGUGCUCGCCUAGGAUGGCGCGGAGACAGCGGCGAGCGGCGGACGGCUCCGGAUCUUCGGCUUGACGACGGCGAGGCGCUGCGGCGCGCAAAAAGGAGAAACGGACGCAUCAAAAGAUGCGCAAGGACGAAGGAAAGCGAACGGCUAGAAAUGGGCAGAGUUUUGACCUUAGGGUUCACCGGCGGCGACCAAAACGUGCGGCGGCGAGCGACGAGCUCCGGCGAGCGAUUCCGGCGGAGUGGGCGCGUGAGAGAGAGGGGAACGAAGGGGGAAGAAGAGAGGGGGGCGGGGGGCAGAGCUUUAUGUUGACGCGCUCGGGGCUGCGAAAUAUGGACGGAGCGCAGAGAUCUCGGCGGAGACGGCACGCGGUGGCGAAGAAGGAAAGCGGCGGUGGACGCGGGCGCUUUCCAUCGGGAACGAAGACCCUGACGCGUGGGUCCCACGCGUCAGUGGCAGCGGGCACGCGCGCGUGCGGCGGGGCCAGUCUGGCUCGGUCGGGCGCGGUCGGAGGGGGCUGGUCCGGCCCAUUUUGGCGGGGCCGGUCCGGUUUUCUCUUUAUUUUUCUUUUAGCCCUUUUGUUUUUUCUGUUUUUCCUAUUUCUUUGAUAUCUUUUGAUUUUUACUCCAAAUUGGUCCAAAUAAAUUCUAGAAAAUUUCUAAAAUCAUGUUCUAUCAUGAUUCAACUUUUGGGAGUAAUUUCCCUUCAAAAUAAAAUACCUAAAAAUACAUUUUCCCUAUAAAUGCCUUUAGGGCUAUAUAACUAUUUAAAUAAAAUAGUUUUUCAACUCCAAAUAAUUGUCCAAAAAUUAUGGAAUAGCUCAUUUAUGCAAUAAACCCCUUUUAUAAAUAAACCUUAUUGGUUUAAAGAUUCAAAGCUCAAAUGGGUGUAAACCCUAGGGUUUAAAUUGAAAUAAAAACUUUUAAAGCCUUUUGAGAUUCAAAUUUGAAUUCAAACGUGCAAUUGUGGCAUGAUGCUUAUGAAUGCAAUGCAUAUGAAAGGAUUUGAAAUUUUGGGAUGUUACAGUCAAUGUCGCCAAGAGCUGCAGGACGUGGCCGCCGAAAAGAGUCGUCUUCAGGAACGUAUAGACUCCCGUAUUUCCGCAGAGAAAGAGCGGGAGAAGGUUUGGAUCGAGCGACUCGAAAGUGCUACUCACUCAGUUGCUGGUGAGCGCUUGAACCUGUUAUUCGAGUGGCUUUUCCUUCUCGUGGAAAAUUUUGACCGUUUCUCUGUCCUUUUGCAGGAGUCCUUGAUGCUUCCGCAUAGGUCCAAUUCAAAGAGAGAAGCCGAAGCUUCAAUGAUGUUUUAGAAAAUGUUGAAGUCAUCAAUGAUGAAGCCAAGGGCAAGCUCCGGCAAGCGACAAAGAUUCUGACCACCGUAAUCAGGAAGAUGACUCCUGAUGGGUCAGUGCCGGAGUCGCUGAAUGGGCUUAUUGAAUUUUUUGCAGCGAGUCAUGACCCGGUAGGGGAGUACUACUGAUGCUGAGCUAUUCUUUACGCUUGCUCUUGCGCAUGGCAUUGAGGAAGACGCUCUCCAUCGAGUAACCUCUCGAUCGAGAGCAGGUGACUCGGUCAACCUAGGGCCCCUUAUGGGAAAGGGCAAAGAGCUGGCUGAGAUCUCGUUGCGGCAGCCACGUAGAUCAAUUGAGGAGAUGAACCUAGCUUCAUCCAGCGGCCCAGAGGUGGGUGAUCUUUCACUAGAUAUAUUUGAUUCUCUUUCUCCUUUGUGAAUCUUCUUCUUCUGUUCUUAUACCUUUGUAAAGAACUGCUCUAGCUGAGCCCUUUUUGGAAAGAAAUCAAAAAAUCUUUAUUUCCAUCCCGAAAGGGGUUCUUCAGGAUAAAUGCUGAGGUAACUUGUGUCUUUUCCGCGCAGAGGGAAAAAGGACCAUCGAGUCACUCGAUUCCAGGUGCAGCGGCAACCUCUCGCAACGAUGCUCCAGCCGAUCCUAGCGGAAAAGGUCAGGCUGGGUCGGCUUUGUGCCCAGAGCAGUUACGAGAAAUUGAGGCUCGAUUCACUAAAUUGAAGCGUGACACGCUGGGUGACGCUCAGAGUAGCAAAUCUAGCCUGAAAGCUGCGACCAACCGGGAAGAGUUUGUCUUUGGAGAGCUUCGCAGCCUGAGCAGCCAAAUCCAAGGUAAGGAUCGCAAGACUUUGCCUUUCGAGUCGGUCUGCAAAGUGAUCUUACCGUCUUCUGUGCAGUUGUUCGCUUUGACCCUGACGAUGAAAAGGCCAAAGUGAAUACCGCCAUUCAAGCUCGCAGAGUGCAUGAUCCAUCAUCCUUUUCGCUGGAUCAGUCAAGGAGCUACGACUUGAUGCUGUUGAUCGAGCGGAUCAAGCAGGUCAAAAGGUACUUGACCUCCUGCCGUGACAUGCUAGCUUCGACACAUCUGGCCUUAUGGCCACAGGAGAAGGUGCCUCGUAAACCGGGCAGCCUGAUGGUGAAGUUUCACGACGAGGAGAAGAUGAAGGAGCUGGUUCGACUCUAGCUGGUGAGGGGUGCCCAGAUUGCCCUCGCAUUUGUGCGAGUCAACUGCCCAGAGUUGGAUUUCUGGCAAAUUGCUACAUUGCCAGUUACUCUCACCCAGGGUAUAAAGUCAUUCCUGGAGGCUGGGCAGGCGGCGGCGCUGUAGAUGAUCCAGCAAUGGGAGGCAGCUGAGGAGGAGACCCUGCCUGUCGUAGGUAGUCAUGUAGUUUUUUUCCUCUCUUUUUUUGUAACGACUAGUCUACCGGGUGCGCGAUCAGCGCUCCCGGUGGGAGUAGCCCCCGAGUGCGGUUGCAACUGUGUGUAGUGGCGACCGGACUCAAGGUUGUAAUGUGAUAUCCUUGAGCAAUGUUGCACCCCUUCUUUUUUUGGAAUGGAGCGCCCUGACUUGCCAAUUAGCGCCGAGUCGAAUUCCGACUUGUGGAAGUCGAAUUUGAGUCGGAUUUGAAGUACUCCUGGUGGGAGUGCCUCGCAGUCGAAUAUAAAUAGCCGAGUGCAGACUCGAACGUACUAGCCAGCGCAAGGGAUUUGUCCUGCUGAUUAGCACUUGGGCCUUGGAAGAAGAUAUGGAUUCCUCCGAUGCACUCGAGGUUAUGCAUAUCCGUUUGGGACAUGUGAGGAAUACCACCUCGCGCAGGCAUGGGAGGAGAUUUCCUUGCUCAAGUCGGAGAAUCGGGCCGCAUCGGGUCGAGAGGAUUUAAUUUCCUCAGGGAAAAUGUGAAGGUUGAAGCUGAAUGUGUAAAGAGUCGUCUUGAUGCUUUAGCACGAUCUGGUUCGGAGAACCCAUCCUUCUAGUCAAAACCGCGACAAGGGUUAUGCCCUUGCGCUUCUGCAAGAUCGAGUUGCAAGAGCAGUGAUCUGCCUGAAGUCCUGCAGUCACUGUUUGACAGAGGUUCACCAUAACUUGUUUCCGGAGCUUCGUGUCCCUGUUGACCUGAAGGGAUUAAUCGAGAGAUUUUGUGAAGGAGCAGUAGUGAGGGGGGCUACUCAUGAACAAUUGGUGGAGGGUGUUGUGCUGGCUCUCUCGUUUGUUCGUUUUCGCUACCCCUCAUUGAAUCUGGACUCCCUGCAUUUGACUCCCUCUUACAUUCCAGACGAUGCUCAGCUUGGACCGAUUUACGACAUGAUGGAGAACACGACAUGUCAGCUGGUGACUCUUAUGGCCUUGGAGUAGAGUAGGCUUUGAUACUCGUUUAAAUAUGUAGGCGUAGUUGUCUGAGUAGUAUUUUUACCGGGUGCGCGACCAGCGCUCCCGGUGGGAGUAGCCCUCGGGUCUGUGCAUGACUGGUUUGCAGUCAUGUGGAGACCCAAAUACUUUGAAAUCUUUUGUAAUUGAAAACUGUUAGCAUCGUUGAAGAUGCCGCACCUUCUUGUUCUGUACUUCCAUUGAUCUUGUAUGAGAAAACAUUAUGAUUCCAAUUUUGCUUGCUUGGAAACUGCCGACCAUUGAAUGAUUGUGCUGAUGUUUGUUUACGCGAUAGCCCGUGAAUGCCGGCUGCAUACAACGAGAGUUUUUUAAAGUCGAUUGAACGCAGCCUCCGAGCGUGGGGUGCGACCAAUGACAAUGUCUGCGGUCGACGGGACACAGCCCCCGAGUGUCGAGUGUGUCCAAUGAUAAGUUUGGGUCGAUUGGACGCAGCCCCCGAGUGUCGGGUGCGUCCAAUGACAGUUUAGGUCGAUUGGACGCAGUCCCCGAGUGUCGGGUACGUCCAAUGACAAGUUUGGGUCGAUUGGACGUGUAACAUACCGGUUCUCGGCAUUUCCAAAAUCUAUUUCCUAAAAAUGACUACUUGAAAAUUUCGCUGAAUUAAACAAAGCUUAACUGGAAAUUUCUUGAAUCUUUGGUUCUAAAUUGAAUUUACACCGACUAAAUAUGAAUUUGAUUUAUACACUUUCUCAUUUGGUUUGCUUAUAUUUUAUUUGGAUUCUCCAUGUUCAAAUAUGCACUUUUAAAUCUCUCUGGAAUUCAUCUCGAAGUUGAUUUGAUGUUUGAGAAGUUCAUUCGAUCUCUUAGCUUCUGUAAAAAUAAAAAAGCAUUUCCUCUUUCUUUUUAGCUUUGGCUGAAAUCCCCAGCCGCAACCCAUCUUCCUUCUCUCUCCCGUAGCCCACUUCUGGCCGAACUGCUCCAGACUACCGUGCCUUGCUUCUAUUUUCUCCCGCGUGUGUUUAAUCUCCAGAGGACGAAGGAGAACUGCCAUCUCCUCGACGCCAGUGUAACUCGAGCUACCUAGAACGAUCGUAUUCAGAGGGAGCUCACGCGAGGAAGACAAGAGUUUUUGCGCUGCUCAAACUUCCGCAGCUUUUCUGGCAUUUUUCAUUCCCCUUUUUAUUCAGACGUUACAUGCAAAACAGAAAAUGGGGAGAGCAAGCCGCGCCAUGAUCCGCUGAUCCCGCGCCAUCCCACGGCCGAGUCAUGGCGCACAUCCCGCUCCUCCACAACGGCCACACUAUAGGCACGCCCAUGCAAACGUACGCAGACAUGCUGGGACGUGUUAUGCUAACAGAAAACAAACUAACAACUGAAAGCAAAGAUGUUUAACAUGCACGAGUUUACUAACAAAACACUCCCUAAACUCGUGCACCUACUUUAUUUGGAUCAUACCAAUCUUCGAGCGCAAUUCCUGGAAUCUGACGCGGCCAAGGGACUUGGUCAGGAUAUCAGAGAGCUGCGCCUCAGUUCGGAUGAACUCCACUUCAGCCUGGCCUUUCUCAACGCACUCCCGUAUGAAGUGAAAUCGAGUGUCGAUGUGUUUGCUCCUGUCGUGGAACACAGUAUUCCGGCUGAGAGAGAUCGCCGACUUGUUGUCGACGAACAACUUGAUGCAGGCCGCCUCUUCCUUCUUCAGUUCACCGAAAAGACGAGCUAGCCACACUCCCUGAGAGACAGCAGUGGUCACCGCAAUGUAUUCGGCUUCACAAGAUGAGAGCGCCACCACCUUCUGCUUGGUUGACUGCCAGGUAAUCGGACUUGUUCCGAGGAAGAAGAGGACGCCGUGGUGCUUUUGCGGUCGUCUAUGUCGCCAGCCAAGUUGCUGUCGCUGUAACCGACAAGGUUGGCGUCGCCGUUUGCUCCUCGUGCAAACUUGCAGCCAUAGUUCAGGGUCCCCGCGACGUAGCGAAGUAUGUGCUUCACUGCUGCAAGGUGCUUGACAGUAGGGGACUCCAUGAAUCUGCUCACAUAGCCCACCGAGAAAGUGAUAUCCGGCCGGGUGUGAACCAGGUACCUGAGGCACCCCACGAUGCUCCUAUAUUCAGAAGCAUCCGUUGGCUCUGCUGAACUAGCUUUGCUCAGCUUGAGGCGUGUUUCCAUCGGCGUCUGACAAGAAUUACAGCCCGUCAUCCCACUGCGCUCAAGGAUCUUCACGGCGUAUGAGGACUGACAGAUGGUGAUGCCGGCAGCGUCUUGCUGCACUUCAAUGCCAAGAUAGAAACUGAGUGGCCCAAGGUCACUCAUCUCAAACAGCUGCUUCAUUUCUGCUUUGAACAACUGCAGCUCUUGCUCGUUGGCUCUAGUAAUGAUCAGGUCGUCCACGUAAACUCCGACCAAAACUCUGGCUUUGUCUUCACCUCUGGUAUAGACAGCAUGCUCCAGCUUGCUGCGAACAAAGCCAAUUGACGUAAGGCAAUGAUCCAGCUUUGCAUUCCAUGCCCUAGGAGCCUGUUUUAGACCAUAUAAGGCCUUCCGAAGCUUGAACACCUUGUGCUCUUGCCCUUUCACCUCGAAGCCCGGUGGCUGAGCAACAAACACCGUCUCCUCUAGUUCACCAUUGAGGAAGGCGGACUUCACGUCCGUGUGGUGCACAGUCCACCCGGCAUGCGCCGGGAGAGCAAGCAGCAGCCGGAUGGAGUCCAGAUGAGCGACCGGCACGAACACUUCGUCAUAGUCCACGCCAUGCCGCUGCACGUAGCCCUUUGCGACAAGACGGGCUUUGUGCUUGGCCACCUUGCCGCGAGAGUCUUUUUUCACCUUGUACACCCACUUCAAUCCUAUAGGACGUUGUCCUUCCGGCAGCGAGACCAAUUCCCAAGUAUCAUUGGCCUCAAUAGAAUGCAUUUCCUCCAUUGCUUUGCGCCACCACGCAUACUGGAUGGCAUCACGGUGGCUCGUUGGUUCUUCGUUGAUGAGGAGAUUCAGCAGCGGGGCCGCACCGGCAUCAAGCACAUUCCUGACAGUGCGAUACCGAUGAGGCACAUGAGCGUCGUCGUCGUUGUCGAACAGCUCUGGUUCCACCGUGGGUGGAGAGACAAGCUCGAAUCCCACAGUGGGCGAUUCAGCAGGCGUUGCUGGUGUUGCGGGCGUUGCUGGAGUCAUGGGCGCUGGACUGGAGUCGUUCGUGUUGUCGGCCGGAACUGGAGAUAAUGCCGCCUGCGUCGCGGCCGGGUGCAGCACAUACUCAACAGUAAAAUAAUCUGUCGACAAACCAGAGUCGUUAUUGCUGCCGUCUGCGUCCCAGUUCCAUGCCGCAGACUCGUCGAACACCACGUCACGAGUGACAUGGAUGCGCCUCGCCACGGGAUCAAACAUUUGGUAGGCCUUGAUCCCAGGCUCGUAGCCGAACAUGACCAUCUUGCGGCUCCUGUCGUCCAGCUUCUUGACAUUGGGGCUCACCAUUUUGACAUGGCCGAUGCAGCCAAAAGUGCGGAGAUAGUGCACAUUCGGCUGCCAUCCAUGCCACGCCUCGAACGGGGUCUUGCCCUCAACGCUGGCCGUCGGCAAACGGUUCAGCAGGUACACUGCCGUGGUGACUGCCUCGCCCCAGAACUCCGCCGGCACUCCCUUCGCCUUCGCAGGCAGCGUGCCAUGCCGACGACGUUUGAUUGCGCCGCUCGACGACGCCGUUUUGCUGGGGAGAGUACGGCGCUGUCAAGUGCCGCUUCACUCCCAGCUCCUCGCAAUAUGCAGUGAAGUUGUUCGACGUAAAUUCACCGCCGCGAUCGGUGCGCAGCGCUCGGAGUGGAUGCUGCGACUCGUUCUCGGCAGCCACCUUGAAUCGCUUGAUGGCCACGACUGCCUCGUCCUUGCUCGUCAACAAGGUCAGCCACAUAUACCUGCUAUAAUCAUCCACAAGAAGCAGGAAGUACCGCUUGCCUCCUGGCGUUGCCGGUGUCACCGGGCCGCAGAGAUCGCCAUGCACCAGUUCAAGCUGAUCUGCAGCCCGGUACUUUGCCUGGUGGGGAAAGGGAGCUCGGCGUUGCUUCCCCACCAAGCAGCUGUCGCAGAGCUGGCCCACGCGCUCGAUCGUCGGCAUGCCGCGAACCAUGCCGUCCCUGGAGAGCCUCCGCAGUGCAUCGAAGUGCAGGUGGCCGUACCUGGCGUGCCAACGCCAGGCGUCAUCGUUCCCUUGUACAGAGAGGCAGAUGGGCUGCGCCACCUCGAGAUGUAGCACGUACAGACGCCCCCGGUUUCGCCUCACACGAGCGAGCAGCUUCCGUUGUGGAUCCCACAGCCGGAGAACGCCGUGGUGGAUGUUCGUCUCACACCCAAUUUCGUCCAUCUGCCCUAGACUGAUGAUAUUGCUCUCCAGACGUGGGAUGAAGUAGACAUCAGUGAGCACUCGGUGCUCACCGUUCCGGCAAGUGAAGACAAUCUUGCCGCGGCCCUCGAUGUUGACCAGCGAGCCGUCCCUGAGCUUUACGCGUCCACUCAUGCCGGCAUGCAGCUCGGAGAAGAGUUCACGGCGCCCGGACAUGUGGUUCGACGCGCCACUGUCCAGGAACCAUGACAUGUUGCAGCGCCCAUCGCCGGGAGCCGCGCGGGCUUUAGAGUGCUCCUCAUUCAGCAUGACGUGCUCCUCGGCGUCGUCCGUGAUCACCUUCAGCGCGCACGUGCGCGCCAUGAGGAGCGCCGGCUCCUCGUCGUCGGCUUGGGCGAGAUUGGCAUGCCCCUUUCAUUCCUUCCUAGGCUCACGACAAUGCUUCGAGAAAUGGCCCAUCUUAUUGCAAUUGAAACAUUUCACCUUGGACAUGUCGAUGUUUCCGUUGGCGUCGCGGGCAUGCCCAAUGCCCUGUUGCUUCGGAGCCUUGCCGCGCUCGUUGCCGUUCGCGUUCUGGGCAUGGUUCGUGCCGCCCACGUUCUGGCCUUGGCCACCGCUGCCUUGGCCCGUCUGGCGCUGGCUGCGGCGUGUCUCCCACUCCUCUUCGGUGAGGAGUAGCUGGCCUCCGGCAGCACUGGACGAGCUGCUGCCGAGGGUGUAUCGGGACUCCGCCGCGCGAAGCCGCCCGAUGAGUUCCUCCAAAGACACCUGCUUGAGGUCGAGCAGCGUCUCAAUCGACAUCACGAUUUGCAUGUAUUUCUCCGGCACACGCGCGAGGAACUUCUUCACCACCGUGUGACCGGCGCCACCGGAUCGCCGAGCGUCUCCAUGUGGUUGAUAUGGCUGUUGACCCGCAUGCUGAACGAGUCGAGGGAUUCGCCGAGUUUGAAGGCGAAGCGCUCCCACUGCGUGCGAAGGCGUUCCACCGCCGCCUUGCGCACGCGCUCCACGCCGAGGCGCAUGAGCUUGAUGGCCUCCCAGCCCUCCCUGGCCGUCUCCUUGGAGGCAAUGAUGCCUUUCAUCUCCGGUGGCACGGCUUUGAUCAGCGCCGCCAGAGCAUUCAUCUCGUCGACCUCGCUGAUCUCGUCGUCCUCCUCAGCGAUCAUGGCCGUCCACAACCGCUGGGCACGCAGGUUGACCUUCAUGACCUGUGCCCACUCGACGUAGUUCGUCGCCGUUAGCUCGGGGCAGGUGAUCGUGCUUCCCCCGCCGCCGGCGACCACCCUCUCCUGGACGAUUAUCUGGCGGUUGUCGUUCCGCCUCGCGCCAGGACUCUGACCUCGCGGCCGUCGUGAAGCCGACCGCGAACCACCGACAGACCGCUCGCGUGAGCGAUCCUGACUGCCGGCCAUGGCGCCUAGAGCCUUUCGUGGCUCUGAUACCAACUGUAACUCGAGCUACCUAGAACUAUCGUAUUCAGAGGGAGCUCACGCGAGGAAGACAAGAGUUUUUGCGCUGCUCAGCCAGAAACCGGCAACAAGAAACGUCAUCCGACAGCCAUCAAAUUAAUAACCCCAUCUUGCCCUUCCUUCCUUUCCUCCCUGCUGCUUUUGCACGCCAUAGCCUGAAUUCCACCCGCAGCAUCGCCAAGUCCCUGCCUGCGCCCCACUGCCCACCAAAUCGCCAUUGAUGUUGACGGCAGAAUCCUGCGAAUAAAAACGCUGCAGACCAAACCCUUGCGCCAGAACAACCACACCAUUCCAAUUUUCCCCAACGCAACUCUCCCCUCUCCACUUUCCAACCGAAGACCCCCAUGGUGCAGCACCGAAGAGGAUGACAAGGGAGAGCAGCACCAGCGAUCAUGUCAGGAGGGCCAUGCCAAGAAGGGAUCGAGGCCAAGCGCCAUGCAGUAGGAAGAAAGGACUGUCGUCUGAUCGACUACAACCGCCAGCAAAUCCUCCUGUCUUUAUUCUACUGCUAUUCAUCGAAUUGGUGAGAAUCUGAUCAAACCAUCAUCCUUUUGAAUGCCUCUACAUCCAGCACAUAUGCAGAUUCAAGUGGAUUUCUGAACCAAUUUGUUUAGCAUCCCCAAAUUCUCUUUCUUCCACUUCUGAAUAUUGUUCCACCGAUCAAAUCUUUCUCCCAUCCUUUAGUAACCAUCUUUAGUCAGCAUUACCACUGGUUACAGGUCCUAGACCAAUCGGAUAGGGGUUGGGAACAAUAAAACUCAAAUAAGCCUAUCCUGCUUGUUAGCACCAAAAUGGUUGAUUUCAUAUCUUUGCUAGAUCAAUUUUUGUUUGUCUGAAACUUUCUGCAUAUAUAGAUGUCUAUCAUGUUCUAGUAUUAAUUUACUUUGCAUACAAAUAGUUUCACAUGUUCUGGACUUGUAGAUUUGAGGAUCUUGAGAUUGCAAGGUUGUUAUUUCAUGUGCAAUAGUUAUUUUGAUCAUGCUUGUUCUUUCUGUGUAAAAAUCUGCAUAAAUGUCUAUAAGAUCAUGUUUGUAGUUAGUUUUACCUGCACACAUUUUAGUUGGACUGUCACUUCUGAAUCUCCAUUUGUGGGCAUGUUUUAUCUAUUAUUUAAAAGCAUUGUUUGCAUUCUAGUUCAUCGGUUUGGUACAGAAAAUCAUGUGAAUGAAGUUUGCUGCACAAAAAUGCAUGGCAUGACAUCUUAGAUACUUCUAUGAGUAUUAUGAACAUAUUUUAGAACUCAGCCAUAUUUAUGUUAUUGAUCGUUGAGUGUAUCUAUUUUAAUUUGUGCAGAUUAAUAAAUGAUCAUUCUUGCAUAUGUUUUGCGUAGCUUAUUUGUACGGGUUAGAUUUAUGUCUUGGCUUGCUUGUAGUAUUUUUAGCCUGUAACAAAUUGUAUAUAUAUUGUUACAUAAUUAUUUCUAAAGUUUGUAGAAUUUUCUCACAUGCCUAGUUAGCUUUCAGAUUUAUAAAUUAGCAUCCUUGCUUGUGUUUUUGUUUAUGCAGCACAGCCAUGAUAGUUGUUUUGGUUAUAUCAGAUUUAAUAUAGCUUUUGUAUGCUUACUAGUAUUGUUGGUAAUUAUUUGAGUAUUUAUGGAUUGCUAGUUUGUUUUUAACAUUAUUAUUUCCAUAGAUAUACCAUGUUUAGUGUAUAUAAAUGCUUGUUAAUGUAUAUACUAUUUGUCUAAUACAUUGCAGCGUCCAAUAUUAUACUUGGGUUGUUUUGAUGCUUUCCAUGCUGUUCAUAUAUAUGUCAUGGUAUGAUGUUUGUUAUCCAUGGCCCAAGGUAGAAGAAGACACACAAACACAAUGAACUCACAGAGGCUUUGGCACCCGCACACCUCGUGUCUUUUUUUCUCUUGUUCACUUGUAAACUUAGCUGAUUACAAGUCUUAAGUAGAGAGAAAAACAUAGGCACACACUGCUGCUUUGAUCCGCUAAUUGCUCUCCACUAGCCGGUAGCUAGAAAGCCACGAAUAAUCACGUUGGAUACGGCCACACGAUUCAGCCGGAGUCCUCCUCAACUUGUUGAUUACUCGGUCCACACCUGAAGCCUCUAAUGGCCAUGUAACUCGGUCAGCAACAGCACACCUACCUGCAUGCUACUUAUCCUAUCGAUGCCAACACAUGCAUCCAUUCUCCACUGGACUAGCUAAUUCAACUAACUAAAGUACUAAACUCACUUAGCUUGCAUGCACACACGUGAACACAUCUCUCCGUGUGCGCUGCCACAGCUUGCUACCUGAACGACACAAAUAAAUGAACAUGAUGAAAAAACUCUAAACAACAAGGUUAACUCCAACAAUGUUUGCAUUUAUCCACUACCUAUAUUGCAUAUAGAGUAGGUUUGUACAAUUGCAAUGCAUUUGCUAUAGUUUAUUCUUGUAGCUAUUCCGAUAUUGCAUGAAUGCUUUGUACAAUUUUAGUACAAUAUAUUCCAAAGCCAUGAGCUUGAUUGUAUUUAUAGAUACAAAUAAUAUGCAUGUGCUUUCUUAUUGCUUGGCAUACUUUGUUAUGGUUUGACUUAUACAUCAUAUAUGCUCAUCCAUGGAUAGCCUCUUGCUUGCUAGCUAGUGAUACAUGUUAGUUGUUGCCUGUCCCUGUAUAUGCUAAUAUAAGGAUGCAUGUCAUUUAUUUGUUUAGCUUUGCCAUGUUUGUUAGUGCAUAUGUCCAUAUUAUCACAUGAUAGCCUAUUGUCACUGAAGGAGCAUAUGUAUUCUAGAGUGCUUUAUCCCUAUUAAUUAUUCUCACAUGAUAGCAUUGUUUGUUCUGACCUCCAUCAUGUAUAUGUUGGCUUGCAAAUGCCUAUAUUGUUUAGUUGCCUAUAGCUAAGAUGCAUCUCUUUGGUAUUAUCAUGCUCAUGCCACUAGCAUAGAUCCUAUGCUUGCUUGACUAGUAUAGAAUCAUGUGUGGCAUGUUUUACUCAUAAUUUAUCUGUUGUGAUUGUUCAUGCUUAAUUUGUAUUCAACCUUGACUUGAAUUAGAACUACUUCUGUUUUUUAUUUUAUUUAUUUUUAUCAUGUGUAGAGAGAAUUGUUAGCUUUGUAAGUCUCUCACUCAUCCUUGCUGUUGUAUGCCAGUUUGUAUAUUAUGCGAAUUGCUUGUUUAACUAGGAUGAUAGGAGUUUGAUUGCUGCUUGCAUGCUAGCAUAAUAAUGUGUGUUGCUUUGUCAUGGAGUGCAUUUACAAAUAUGCUUGAGAGUUAUCUUUGGUUAGUGGCAGCAUAGCUUUAUAGUUUAGUAUUUAUUAUUAUUAUACUAAAGGGUAUGACCAAUCAUAUAUAUCCUUCCUCUCGGAUAUAUAAUUAUACUUGUUAGAAUCUGUCCCACCAUCCAAUCCUAUCAAAGUUAUUCAUAUCGUUUCCAAACCUAUUGUCAGCCUCAUUGUUUAUUCGCUCUCUUAUUUCUAUUUCAUUUGACUUUAUUGCUUUUGCAUUUAUUUUGUUUGUUCUUGUUAUCGUUACGACAAAUAGAGAGUGACGAGGUGGAUCUGAGUGCGUCCAAUGACAAGUUUUGGGAUCGAUCUCUCAGUUCUGAGUGUGAUGCGAUCGCAACAAGGUAAGUAAAAGGGGAAGGCUCUGAAUAGAGGAGCAUAAUUAGUUUUAUUACGUACCGAUGGUACAAGAAGGUACUUAAAAAUGCAGAAAAAGGAAAACGAAUAGGUGAGAAACUAAAAAAUAAAAUCGAGUAAAAAAAGCCUGGCGCGUUGGCGGCACAAUUGCGUGGCAUUCCGCGCCUUGCUUCUUGAGUCCCCGGCUCUGGAUUGGAGUCUGAGGGGGAGGUUUUUGAUUCUCCUAUCCCGUAGUCGAGUUGGCUGAACAGCCAUGUCAAGUGCAACUGGGUGCACUGCUCCGGCGAAACUGGCUGGGCGCGGAGGCGGAGGAGGAGCACCGAUGGCUAGAGCUCCUGGUAUGGGAGGCAGCAAGGGUGCAUUGACUCCUUCGUUAGGGUAUGGAAGCAUCCCAGGUAGCUGUGAGAAGCCCGCACUUGUUGCCCACUGCUGUGUCCUGGCAAACUCAGCCUGCAGUUCCUUGGAGCGCCGGCACUCGGCUAGAGGGUGGCUUGGCUUGAUGUUGCCUUGCUCAUCCCUGUAGACGUGAAACGGGCAAGGGGAAGCUAGCUGCUGAGCAAGGGUUGGUUGAUUUCUUUUUCUCUGCCAUUUGUUGCCCACGCUUGUCACCACCUCGAAAACCUCCACCGUGAUUUCCGGUCUCCUAAGAGCCAAAAUCUGUCGGAGAGGCUGCCGCGAUGAAUUCAGGAGGGUGUGAUUCUUCGAAGGCUCGGUUUUUGUGCUCCUUCGUCGAUCGUGGCCACGAUCACCCUCUUCCUCUGGAGAUCGGUGGCGUUCAUUGCGAACCGAGUCUUCACCGUCAGCCCAUCGAUUUGUGGGCUGCACACAACCCAAUUCUUCCUUGAGUUCGACUCGUCGGAGUCCUCGUUUGAAGGCGUACAUGGCGCUUUCGUCGGAGACUUCCUCAGCAGCGUGUUUGGUGUUGGUCCAGCGCUGGAUGUACGAACGGAUGGAUUCUCCCUCCUUUUGAAUACAAGCUCAGAGUUGCUCGAUGUCGCACCAGUGGCACCCAGGGUACCACCGCUGCACGACGCGUGGGCCCCGUUCCCGGGUUCCCGGGAAGGUCUCAUCCCGAGGAGCGUCUAUGAGCUCCCCGGCAAGCUACCAGCCCGAAAGGGGCUCGCGGGGCUUCGGGGAAUAUUCCCGCCUGGGCACCUCCGGGAAACUGCUUCCCGAGAGGGGGUUCCCAGGUGCGUUGGGCCCGGGUGCUUCCCGGGGUCGACUUGCUGGGUUCCCGGGCGCGUGCCCCCGCCUCGGGCGUGGGGCCCAGUGGACAGCGCCACGCGGGCGCAAUGCGGGCGCGGGACGCGCGGUCCCACCAAGGCAAUGAGUAAGGCGCACGGCUCAGUAAACGAGCCGACCGACGGGUAGUUACCCGUCCGAUCCAAGGAACAGUGGUUGUCUAAUCCUACCCUAGGGUCCUAGGCCCCUAGCAGCAGAGGUGGCACCCAUGCACGCCACCAGCUCACCGGGGGAAGUUGCAUGCCUCCCCGUUGGACACUUGUAGCUCAUGCACCAUGGCACAUGUGGCAUCCCCUUGUGUAUAAAAGGAGGACCCAUGCCAACGGUCAAGGGGGUUAGUCAGUUGGUCAGUUAGUUGGUUCGGACGAAGCUCGCUCGAUAGAUGCUUAGUGGCUCCGGUAGGCAGCCAGCAGAGAGCGGUGAGGAGUGCCUAGCCACUGAGAGAAAGCCCGGGAGCUUGCCCGACAACCUGUAAACAUUUGAUCCGUAAUUAAUAUCAGCUCAGACAGGCAGGACGUAGGGUUUUACACCUCCGGGUGGCCCAAACCUAGGUAAAAAACGUGUGUGCAUAUGUUCUUGGACUAGCGCGCAUCCUUAGCACUUUGUCUCACCGGCCCCGUAGGGCCUCAUCAGCCGUGCCGACGAUCACCGAGUCUCCGCCCCAGACGCCCCUACCGAACCUAAAAGGGGGACGUGGCCGCACGCCCUCGGUGUCGGAGCACCGAGCGACGACAUCUGGCGCGCCAGGUAGGGGGCACGGGAGUGGACAACGCCGGAGAUCGCCGGCAGCAGAAGUUUCCAUCGGCGUCGGCUUCGCUCUUCUUCGCCGACGAGCCUAGUCACCAUGCCCCCCAAGCGGGCUGGUGACUCACGCAUAGACUCGAGUCGGGGGCUCAAGAGAACCCCGAGCCCUCUAGGGUGCAGCAAACGCAGCUGCCUCCGCCGCCUCCUCGGCCGUCGACCGACAAUCGGCCAAGGGGACCGGCUGCCCCCAGUGUCGGGGGCAGUCGGGCGAGCACGCACGACGUCGCUCGGGCCAGCCAACGGGUUGAUCGCGGCUCGAGGACGCCCCGCGGCAGCGGCACCAGGAGCACGCCGCGUCACGAGCAACCCCUGGGGGUUCGCACCCUGCACACCCGGAGACGUUCAGGAAACCGGCUGCCCCCCGUGCGAACCCCGGCUGAAGCCAUCGUCGCCGCGCGCGUCAUGGUGCGGUACGAGCCGCAGCAGGGCACGCCGGUGCACGAGACGUGGGGCAAGGAGUUGGAAGCGCUUCUCGCCCUGGCCGCCCAGCAGCCGCAAGGCGAGGGCGCCCCGGUGGGCUCCGGCCACGGGCAGAACCCGGAGCGCGGAGACGCGUCACCCGCCUCACGACAGGGGGAGAACCCUCCCCUUCCUCACCGAGGCCAAGGAGACGGGGGCCCGGAGGGGUCCUCGAACUCAUCGCCCACCGUUCCGGGGGGCGAUGCGCAUGGCAUCUUGAAUGCUCGCCAGCAGGAGGAUCUGCGCCAGCGCUUGGAGCGCUGGCACAGGCGCGAGGUGGAGCGCCAGCGCCCUUAGGAGCAAGAAGAUGCUCCCAUGGGCCCCGAGGACGGCUGCACCGCGUUCACGCGCGAUCUGCGGCGGGUGGCGUGGCCCCGUAAGUUCCGAGCGCCUGCGCUCAGUACGUACGACGGGACCGCUAACCCCAAGGAUUUUCUCCUGACCUACACGUUGGGCAUGCAUGCCAUCGGCGCUGAAGGGGAUCAAGCAGCGCCACGAGGAGCGCCGCGCCGCCGGCGCCUGCUUCAAUUGUGGCGACAUCGGGCAUCUCUCCUGAGAUUGCCCGAACGACCCCAGGGUGGGUCCGAGGCCGGCCGGCGGUGGUGCCGACAAGGGUGCCCCAAGGGGGGCGCGGCCAACCCCGCGCUAUGCGGGAACACCCUCCUCGGGGACGCGACAGGGCGCGUGCUGAGGAGCAGCGCGAGUCCGACUAUUCCGGCGGCAACGAACCGGGCUUCCAGGAGCCUCGUGGCGUCGCCUGCAUUCAUGGGGGAGCUUGCGCUCUCCCUUCCCACCCCGCGGUGAAGCGCCUCACCCGCGACGUGUGCGCGCUGUUGCCGGAUGCGGAACCGCAAUAGCCGCUGAGGUGGUCGCACGUGCCGAUCACCCAGCACGGCAGUUGGGUUCAGGGGUAAUACCCUUCGUCGUCUCGCCGAUCAUUAGCAAUAUGACGGUGACCAAGGUGUUGGUGGACAACGGAGCGGGGCUUAACCUCCUGUCCGCCAGGCUGGUGGAAAAGUUCCAGCUGCCGAUGGAGCAGCUGAAGCCCACCGAACCGUUCCGGGGGGUGAACCCCGGGAUCGUGUGCCCGCUGGAACGCAUCACGCUGCCGGUCACCUUCGGGUCCCGUGUAUCGUUCAGGACCGAGCACAUAGUGUUCGACGUGGCGCAUACCCCGUUGCGCUACAACGGGAUCCUUGGUCGGCCGGCGCUGAUCAAGUAAUGGCGGCUACGCAUUGCGCCUACGGCGUGAUGAAGAUGCCGUCCGUCUAUGGAGUCCUCUCCAUCAGGUGCGACCUCAAAGACGCGGCUUGGUGCGUUGGCGAGGUCGUCCGGGCCGCUGCUGCAGCUGACGCCGGCGACGAGGAUGUUCUCGAGGACGACGGCUUGCCGGGUGAUGCCCUGGCAACGAAGAAGUCCCGUGCCACCCCGCAAGGGCUUGCCGGGGGAGGUGCAGGCUCGGGCUCGCGCCCCGGCAAGGGGCAGGGGCUCCGGGAGGAGGCCACCAAAGUGAAGAAGUUGCCCCUCCAAGCCGGCGAUGAGGAGCGCACCGUUACCGUCGGUGCGAACCUGGCCGCCGAAUAGGAAAGCGCCCUCAUCACCUUCCUCCGGGAUAACGCCGAUGUGUUCGCCUGGCAAGCGUCGGACCUUCCCGGAGUCCCCAGGGAGGUGAUUGAGCAUCGGCUCGCGGUGUGCCCGGAUGCGCACCCCAUUAGGCAGAAGAUCCGGCGGCAAGCACAAGAGCGGAAAGAUUUCAUCAAGCAAGAGGUGGGCAAGCUUAGGGCUGCCAGGGCAAUCAGGGAAGUUUUGUACCCACUUGGCUGGCUAACCCUGUAGUAGUGCCUAAAGCAGGGAAUAAGCUUCGCAUGUGCGUACAUUUUACCGAUCUUAAUCGUGCAUGCCCCAAGGAUCCCUUCCCUGUACCCCGUAUCGACCAGAUAGUUGAUUCUACCACUGUUGUGAUUUGCUGAGUUUUCUGGAUGCUUUCUCCGGCUACCAUCAAAUCAAGAUGGCGGUCGAGGAUGAGGAAAAGACAGCGUUUAUCACCUCGGUUGGCUGCUAUUGCUAUACAUGCAUGCCUUUCGGGUUGAAGAACGCGGACUCCACAUUCCAGCGCGCCCUGCGCGAAUGUUUGGGCCCCCAGCUAGGCCGCAACGUGGAGGCCUACAUGGACGACAUCGUCAUCAAAUCGAAGCGUAGGGACUCGCUGGUUGAUGACUUGCGGGAGACAUUCGACAACCUCCGCAGGAUCAAGCUCAAGAUGAACCCUGAUAAGCGCACCUUCGGAGUCAACUCCAGGGAGCUUCUGGAUUUCUUGGUUUCACACCGGGGGAUACAGGCCAACUCGACAAAAAUAGAAGCCAUCCAGAAGAUGGAGGCCCCCCGCAAGGUGAAAGAUGUCCAACGCCUCAACGGCUGUGUUGCCGCGCUGGGACGUUUCAUCUCCAGGCUGGGUGAGCGUGCCUUGCCUUUCUUCCGGGUAAUGAAGAAGAAGGGUCCAGUCGACUGGACUCCCGAGGCCGAGGCAGCGUUCCAAGAACUCAAGCAGUACCUGAGGUCGUCGCCCAUCCUCGUCGCCCCCAAGCUGGGCGAGCCGCUGCUACUCUACCUAGUGGUGAUUGACCAGGUGGUCAGCUUGGUGCUGAUUGCCAAGAGGGAGGAAGACGUCCCGGGGACUGGGGCCGCGGGGCAGGGGGCGGGGCGGCCCUCGGCAACCGCCUCAGACCCGGGGACCGCCCCCGAGCCGGCAACCUCGGCACUGCGGAAGCGGUUGGUGCAGCACCCGGUGUACUUCGUUAGUACGGUGCUACGCGACGCGCGGACAAGGUACCCGCAAGUACAGAAGCUCCUUCUGGGGAUUCUCCUUGCGUCCCGCAACUGCGCCACUACUUCCAGGCGCACCGCGUCACGGUGGUGUCCGGGUUCUGCCUUGAGCGAGCCCUCACCAACCGUGAAGCCACCGGGAGGGUGGCCGAAUGGAGGAUGGAGUUGUCGGAGUUCGACCUCCACUUCGCCAACUCUAAAAGCAUUAAGAGCACGGCCCUGGCGGACUUCGUCGCGGAAUGGACGUCCACGGGCGUGGAAGAAAGUGAGCCGGAGACCAGCCUUCCCGGCAAGUUGGACGAGGGCCACUAGGUCCUCUACUUCGACGGUGCAUUCAGUCUUCAGGGAGCGGGCGCCGGGGUCGUCAUCGAGUUACCAACAGGGGACCAGUUGAGGUUCGCUGUUCAACUCGACUUCGCCAACUCCACCAACAACACGGCGGAGUACGAGGGCCUGUUUGCGGGGUUGCGGGCAGCGGUCGCCCUCGACAUUAAGCGCCUGGUUGUUUGUGGCGAUUCCCAGCUCGUAAAUAACCAGGUGAACAAGGACUACGAUUGCAAGCUGGAACGAAAGUUCAAAGGUUUGCGCUUUGAGCACGUCAAGCGGAAGGAUAACUUCGCUGCUUACGAGCUGGUCAAGAUGGCAGAAGAGCGCCGGAAGCCUCCAGCGGGGCUGUUCUGUCAGAAGCAAGUGGCUCCUUCAGUCACCCCGUGGUCGACCCUGCCUCGGUCGUCGAGGCCGUGGGGGCGGAGGUGUAGGCGGAACCGGCUCUCACGUCCGGCCCCGCUGUGACGGACACAGCGGCAGCAGAGGACACCGCCGCCGCCGUGACGGCACCUGGCGACGCGCCCGAAGCCGCGGACGUGGUCGACACGGGCUCACCUGUCGUCCAACAGGAGGCAACCCCCGCCGGAGGCAGGGAGCCUUCUCCAGCCCCGGGGUCCCCGAGCGCAGGCGCGGGGGAAGUUGCCGGGAAAGAACGGCAAGACCCCCGGGAGCAAAUCCACGACCCCGCGCCUAGCCCCACUUCGGCAGCAGGGGCUUCAUCAUCCUUGGGGGCUCGCCCGGGUACCUACCUCGGCACCCUCGCCGGGGUCGCUUGGAACCCCCUUACGUGGGAUCCGAGUGUCUUUGAGCGGGGGCACCGGUUCCUGGACGCCGUCCGGGACCAGCAAUUGGCCUUCGUCACCUCCUUCAACGAGGUGAGGGAGCACCACACCACCGCCAAGAAUCAACUCGGCGAGGGGCGGAAGGCCGUGGAGAGAGAGCGGCGCGAACUCUCCCGGCUGCGCGAGGCGACGCGCCUUGCCGAAGAGGAGGCGCGGCUGGCCCGGAAAGCCCUAGAGGCCGCUCGGGAGCCGGUAGUCCCGGAGACCGAGCUCCGUCGGCAACUGGAGGCCCAGCGCGUGGAGCUUCAAGGAAGGCUCGACACGAUGGCGGCCACCCUCGAGGCGGCCCGGAAGGAGCACGCCGAAGUGCUUGCAACGGCUCAGACGCGGCUGGAGGAGAAGAGCGAACUGAUCGCCAAUUACCAUGGCGAAAUCCAGGGCCUCCGCGUCUUGCUGGAGGUGCAGGUCAAGGAUGCCGAGGAUGCGGCGAGAAUGGCGGCUCGUCACGAGGCCGAGCUCAACUCCGCCAAAGACAGAGCGGCCAGGCUCGAGACCGAGUUGGCCGCCGUCCGGGAGGAGCUCGCCAAGGCCGGCGUGGACAAUGCGACCAAGGCCGCAGAGCUUGCGAAGCUGGAGGGCCGCGUCAGCAAGGCCAAGAAGGCCGCGCAGGAUGCCCGACUCCACCACGGCACGCUGAUCAGGAGGUCUUGAUUGCUUCCAGGGUGUUCGCCGGCAUGAGAGAACAGUUGUCCUCGAGUCGCAUUAUUUCGUAGAGUGUUGUCCUUUUGUGUGCACGGUAGCUUUCCUGCAUUAGAAAAAACAGAAAACAGUUUCUAAAAAAAAAAGGAAACAGAAAACUUGAAUGUUAUGAACCGGUGUUUGUCCCAAUAAUCUGGUAAGCCCAAUGAUAUCAUUAUAGUGCUUAGCGCGCCUGAACUUGGUGAGGGGCUUCAUGAGUUUUGUGCCGUCGUAGUUUCGCGCCAGGAAGGAGGCGCAUAGACCGGAGUCCUCGCGGCGCAUGAAAUUUAUGCUUACGGAAAUGUUGGCAAGAAGAAUGAACAGAUGCAUGGUGUAGUUUAGCUUACCUUGUAAAUUUGUCUGUCAUGAUUAUUGGGAAUCGCCUGGUCCAGUCCACAUGGCCGCAUGGCCAGCUGUCGAAAAACGAGCGCACGCAUCUGAAGAAGGCGUCUAUGAUACGAUCGGUAACGAGAUGGUGGAUAUUGACACGACGAUUUGAGAACCCAUAUGGUCCAGCCAUCGGAUCAAGGAUGUGGACGCAUCUAUCCUGCAUGUCAAGCGCAUAGACGCACCACCCCAACUCAAGGAUGGCUGGCACGGAGAACUAUACGUUUAGCAGAGCGGAAUCAGUUGUAGGCACAAUAGAAGGAAGACGUUCGCUGGGUUAGCAAAAAAAAUGGCUUGUCUUGAUUACCAUUCGGCAUGAGGUGACUGAGAACGCCUCGUGGUCGGCCAUGAACUGGUUAUGGGUGGACAUUAUAUCGAGCGGGUCCACACUCGACAAGACAAGGGUCUGGAGCAAAAUUAAUUUGUCAUCAAAUCGCAUGGCGCGUAUAUAAUAAAACGUAACAAGCCAAAUUGUAGUCCCGGAAGUGGGCUUACCGAGAAAUCCGGUUCUAGAAAUUUGCGCCAUCGCAACCAGUAUGAGUCCUUGGAUGAUUGGGCAUCUAUUUGGCUGAGACGACGCAUGAUUAGCGUGCCGAUUUCGUGUGUCAUGGGGUGGGACCCCACCAGUUGUUCUCUGAUCAUGGUUCCGUCGAUGCGCAGUGCUCGUGGCGUCCGAUGAUUGAUCCACAAACUGCUGGUGCAGUUAGGAAAUGGAAAAUAACAAGGAAUUUAUGAAUAUACGCGCAGUGUUCAUGGGGGUAAAAGGAAUUACCGUGUGAAAAUGGAGCCCGGUGCGCGAGUCAUCCAAUCAACAAUAGCUAUGGAUGCGGUCGUGGCAGGUCCGGUUGGGAAUGAACCAAUGGACCAAGGAUCCUGGGCGAAUUUGGCAGGUGUCGUGGACAUCAUGUUGGGGGAUGACAUGGUCCCCUGGCCAAACAAAGGAACUCCUUCGGUUGCAGUUUCUUGUGCGUAAGCAACUUUAAGAAUGGCGCACAUCUCGUCCGCGAAGUCCUGGAUCCUGGUUGCCAGCGUAUCUUCUUGAGGUUUGGGGUCGUCGCUUGAUUUGUGCGAGUUUGUUGGGUUCCUUCCGACUGAGCUGGCGGGGGAUUGUUGUGGACGAACAUUCGUAAAUACCGGCUGCUGUAUUUUUACGUUGCAGCCGUCUGUCGGGCGAAAGCAGACGGAGUUAGUCAUCAACAAUCAGGCACGUUAGCUUCCAAUGACAGUUUGUACUUGCCUUUUGACGUGUAAUUGUUGGAGUCGCGCUAGUUGGUACUGUUCUCGAGGAAAUCGCAUUGGGCUGAUCUCUUCUGUGUCAACGGGCUGUGGCCUGUAGAGCUCUCUGUUCAUAAUUUUUCAUCGCCGUUAAGCAGCUUUGCAUAACUGUGGAAGGGUUUGGGCAGUUUUAAUGGACGUACCGUCACAGUCAAGCGGGCUUGAAGGGCGUACGGGCAGCUUUGAAUCAUUUCGAGUGCGGUAAGAGCUCGGUGUUGUUGAGGGGUGGAAAUGGAAAAACAUUAGUAGUCGCUCUUUGUUUCAUGUAAAAAAGCGACGGCGUUUUAUUCAUAUACCUGCUAUGUUGCAUGUGUUGUGUGGAGGGUGGUUUGGUGCAUAACCCGAGACCGGUACAUAACCCAUGGUCUUGUCGGCGAAUGAAUACAUUUCCUCCUGACACUUGUUCUUGAACUCGUUGACGAAAAGGAUCAACCUAGCGUUAUGCUCCUUGAGUAGUAUGGCGGUCCGUGCUCCAGCCUGCGGAGAAGACAUGUGUUGCUGAUGGUUUCUUGAUGGCGGAAAUCAGUUUUUGCAUUAUCGCGGCUUACCUGAUUAGGGAAUUUUGUGCGUAGGUGGUUGGAGAAAUCAUUUGGUCCAGCCCUGGACACCAUGGUGGGCUGUGGGCCCCUCGUGUGUCCCAUCUAAUCCGGCGGUAAUUGCUGCAGAGGCUGCGCCUCGACGGGAUCUUGGACUGAUCGAGCUUGCUUGGACAGGUCUUCCUUGGGUACUGCGCUCGUUCGAAUCGGACUGCUGCAGCCAGUGCUCGGCCCAAUGCUCUGUACCGGUCAUGUGGACCCCCCACCCCCCAAAGAAGAAACGAUCAGUUCUUGUGAUACGUGUGGGAAUUUUGAUGGAUACAUUUAAGAUGGUGCGCAAACAAAACUAAAAAAUGACGCACCUGCGUGUGGUGGGAUGUUGGCGGGAAGAAUGUCGAACCCUGGUUUUCAGCAACAAGGUAAUCAACCAUGCAUUUGGUUGACUCGUAGUCGAACGAGCGGAUCCUGGGGUAAGUUCCUUUCGGAGGACUUAGCUUUCCAAGAUCGAUCUGUUCCAGGUAGAAAACCUGCUCAGGUGAAAAUGAAAUUGUCAGGACAUAAUACCCGCGCACCGUGAGAACGAACAAAUGAAAUUAUCAUGCAAAAUAAGGAUGAACCUGCAGAAGAAGGUGACACCCCCCGAGGUUGACGUUGCUGUAUCCGUUAGACAUGUCUGACUUUAUCUUCCGUGUUGCGACAGCGAUGUGUUUGAGCACAUACUCGGACCAAUUAUAAUUUGUGAUGCAUGACGGGUCGUUUAGAGCGCCAAGGAAGUCUAAGCUCACGUAAUCGUUCUUGGAGGACGGUGCGAGCAAAUGACCAACCACGUACACGACGAAUGCUAUCUUCAAGCAGCUUUGGUCGAUUCGUGGAGAGUUCGGGGUCAAUAUCUUCAACAGAUGCAGCUCCGCAGCCUUUAGGCUAUGGAUCCCAGGGACGUGGAGUUUUGAAUCGUUAGGUAUAAAACAUCAUCAGGGAGAAGCGAAAUCACAGGGAUGGUAGCCUUCCCGUGAACUAUCAGAGAGUGCGCAUAUGAAAUCGCGAGUGCGUACUAAGUGAUGUGGGAAGCCUGAGAAGAGAAUGUAAAAACAUGUCGUCAUGCGAAGCUUGAGACGCCGUCUUAGGUUUGGGAUGUCCGGCGAUGUGGGAAGGAGACGUCAAAUUUGUGUGUUCGCUGUGAGUGUGUUAACCAGGAAAUCGGCAGCACACCGUGUCGGGUGAAAAAUAUAGAUGCUCCAGGUGGUAGGUGGGAGCUUUAAUGUAGUAUGCGGAGGUUGGUGCGAGGGAGGAGGUGGUUAGCACGGCAUUUAUUGCAGCCCCUAGCUGUGUAUGAUGGCAUGGUCGUGUAUACCAUCUAGUGCGGUGAUGCUCGAUGCCUCUCUAUGUGUUAAUUAAUGGAACUUUGCUAUAACUAUUUUGUCGAUAUAAUUGAGAAUGGAGGACAUAGCUUAAACAGAACGUGUUCCUGGGAAUGAAAAUGUUGAUACAACUUUAUUACAGAUAGAACUGCCAAAUAAGGAAUAUAGUGCAUAAGGGGGGUCACUGCUUCGCGGCCAUGAUUGCGAUGGAAACAACCAAGUUGAGGACGGCGAGAAUUAGAGUGGUGAGCAUCAUGUAUGACUGCUGCGGGAUGCCGGCUCUCACACCAUGCGGCCGGUCGUUUGCUGGCGUGUUAGCGGGCGGUGACGAGUGAUGCUGCGCUUGAUCUAAUCCGGCGACGGACAUCUUGUUGAGUAUGGACCUGUACUGAUCUUGCCACUUGAAGUAGCCGCAGUUACCGUCGGCCUGGCGUUGCGAGUGCAAGAAAAAUGAAGGGGUUUCGCUGAUAUGUGCGAAAUGUGUUACUAUAGAAGAGCUAUGGAAGAAAUGAAUCGCGUAAAUACCUCCUCCACUGGGCAUUUGUAGAAACGGUGCCCCCUAAGCGGUCCUUUGGACUUCUUGAUAUACGUCUCGAGCAGAGCCUGGCCACACCUCGGGCAGUUGAUUAAGGGCAAGAUGGAGGUAUCAGGCGUUUGGUUGGUGUUGAGGGAGGAGGUAGACAUGGCCUCUGCUCCUUAGGAAUAGCAUUGUGGCUGCCGUCCUCUGUUGUGUGCUUGGAGUGGGUGUAUAUAAAGAACCGAACGUGGAGAAAGGUAUGACAAUUAAGUGGGUGAACGGUCGACACACCUGUUGCCUUAAAAUUUGGUCUAACAGUGGGGACACACAUAUAUGUUAAUUGCUAGUGUGGCGUGGAUGUCGGAAAGACUGAUUUUAUUUUUCCGCGCAACAAGCUUGGUUGUAGUGACCCCACCAGUCUCUCACGUGUGGGACCUGCCACCGUCGGUCUCCCCAAUCAACUCUCCCCGAUUCUCCGAUUGCCAUCUAUAUGUUUCUCUCCCGUGUCUCCCUGCGCUGACCGAUAGGAAUUCGAAUCCAAAUCCCCAUCUCGCCCCUCCCCUGCGUGGUCGCCGGCCGCCGCCAGCACCUCGUCCCUCCCCUGCGCCCUAGCCCGCCGCCCCCAACACCUCGCCCAUCCCCUGCGUGGUCGCCGGCCGCCCCCACACCGCGCCUCCUCUCCGCCCUAGCCGCGCACCAGCACCUCGCCCCGGCGUGCCCUAGCCGGCCGCCCCCAGCACCUCGCCCAUCCCCUGCGUGGUCGCCGGCCGCCCCCACACCACGCCUCCCCUCCGCCCUAGCGGCGCACCAGCACCUCGCCCCGGCGUAUUCGCCGGCCUCCCCACACUGCGCCUCCCCUGCACCCUAGCCGGCCGGCCCCAGCACCUCGCCCAUCCCCUGCGUAUUAGCCGGCCGCCCCCAGCGUGGUCGCCGGCCGCCCCCACACCGCGCCUCCCCUCCGCCCUAGCCGCGCACCAGCACCUCGCCCCGGCGUAUUCGCCGGCCUCCCCACACCGCGCCUCCCCUCCACCCUAGCCGCGGACGAGCACCUCGCCCCUUCGCCGGCCUCCCCUCACAGCGCCUCCCCUCUGCCCUAGCCAACCCAGCACACUCUGCCCCCUCCUCUCACGCAGCUGGUCCGCCACAGAUCCUCCAGGCGACCUUCGUUGCAGUCGACGGCCAAGAAGAAGUGCGAGAAGCGAGGGGAGAAAGGAGGCCGCCGGGGCCGGCGAGUUGCCGUGCAGUGGGUGUGGACGGGUCAGGCUGGGGCUAUUGAGUCUGCCGCCGCCGCCCACGCCCAUUGAAAUCUCCUCCACCGCGGGCACACAACUUACAGGUUUAGUACUGCCUAAUUUGAGUUCCGAGUCACGGUUCACUGAAAUUUCUAAUUUUAGGAUUUGUUGGAUGCAUAGCCUGGAAGUCCUUGGUGCACUUCGUCUAAUAGGGUAUGAAAAUGUGCUGGCAUUUUAGGAAUACCACCAUUCAUGAUGUUGUUUUGUUGAAUUGGUAUGAAAUAUCAUAAAUUGUAUCGGCCCAAAGGUGAAGGGAGCGCCGCUGCUGAUUGACAUCUUAAGAUAAGAAGUAACAAUCACUUAUCAUGCAGCUAGCCUGUCAAGCACAAUGGUAGAAGUAAUUUUUUUACCAUGGUUAAAUGUUGUAACUAUGCUGUUGCCUGUUGAAUAAUCUCCUCCAUUGCCUUGGUUCAUUUUCUCAACAACUUAAUUAUGUAUGCCACAUGAAAACUUCCUCGGUGAAAACAGAGAAGAGAUAUUUGUUUGCAGCUCUUGUGAAUUGAACUCAGCUUGUGUCAUUGACUCUACAUAUGUUACGCUGUGACCAUAUUCAGUGUCAUUUAGUUUCAGUGGCAUUCUAAUGUAACCGGCUUAGCACUCAUGUUAAUGCUCUAAUAUCCUCCUGAAAAAUUGUUGCAGAGAGCUGUACACAAAUAAUAUUCAGGUCACUAUCCCAGCUGAGCUUCGGAGUCUCAAGAGCCUUAUUAUCUUGGACUUCUAUAACAGCAAUAUAUGCAGGGACAAUACCAAUAGAACUCAGCAAGCUGAGAUCCUUAGUUUUCCUGUGAGUACUUUUCUGUUAUUUCUAUUGUAACAAUGUAAGCAUAUAACAGCCCUCUCAUUUUUUGCACCAUGUUCUGUUUAUUGGAAGCGUCUCACAAUUGAUUCUUCAAGUAGUUUUUGACAUUUUAUUGCUCACCUUAUUGGAUAGUUUCUAUUGGUGAAGAUCUGAUAUCUUAUUGACUGCCCUAAUAUUGCUAGCGUCGCCACCAGUCAAGUCUCCUCCACUGCCUGCUCCAGUGAGCAAUCCCUCUCCACCACUGCCUGCUCUGGUGAGCUCUCCACCUCCACCGGUAAAAUUACAUCUUAUGGGAAUUCUGAAUUAACAUAGAGUGGAAAUAAACAUAUUUUAUGUAUGCUGGUUGAAUGUGCAAGCAAAGAUACUAUUCUCAUACCACAUGUCUACAUACAUACAUAACACAUAGGUAUUGUAUAUGGAUGAAUGUACUCUCCCCAAUGGCUGGCUAAACUAAUGCAAAUUGAUUUGCUUAUUUUACAUAAUCAAUCAAAGGCUGGUGUCUGCAUGUACUGAUGCGCCCGCAUUACAUAUGCUAAAUGCCAAACUUGUCAUAAUGUUAAAUAGAUUAGGUACAUAGGCCAUUGGUUCUAGAGUAGUUGUCAGUACAAACUAAAGCCAAUCAUCGACUUGGUCAAUCUGAAGUUAAUUAAGUAAUUAGUACUACUGAAAAAACGUCAAGAGUAUAGGGGAAAUGGUAAGUCAACUGUGUCAAAGCUCUUUGUAGGUCGUCUAUCCAUGUUGUGAUACAGGACCUGAAUCAAUAUGAUGCACACACACAGAAAUAGAUUCAUAAAUUGGAAGCAAGCAUGUGAUCUUCCUUUGUUUUGGGAAUCUGGUGGUGUCUGCCUUCUUCAGUUCAGAUCAGAUGCUAUAUGUGAUUAAUUCUUUUGUGCCAUGCUUAAUUUAAUUUAAUGGGUUCAGUCUCAGUCUGUGCACCAGCAAGUUUGUUUGCUCCUAACAUAAUCAUUUAAUGUGUUGAGAAAACAUUAUGGAUCAGCUUGAGAAUUUAGUGCGAAUAGAUUAAGCAAAAAAAUUCAUGAACAAAGAACACCUAAUGAGGAAUAAUAUUUAGAAGAACUUGUUAGAUUAUUUUUUUACUUAUCCAGUGCACACCAAGGUCAGUACAGGCAAGUCUGUUCUGUCAAUAGCAUUUUUUGAACCUAGGAUUGUUAUUCAAUUUCAGAUAUCACUUCAGUGGUGUUACAAUUACUGGAUGAUAGCUGUUGGUUUUGUGUUUCCUAUUUUUGCAACUUUAUGGUUCCAUGAACAAAAUCAUGGACUAACUCCCUUUUGCGACAUGGCUAGGGUUACAAAAGUCUUAUCUUUCACAUCGGUAAACAUGUUCGAGAAAGGAGAAAGCUCAAAAGGUACUAAUCUCUAGAUGGAUAUAUUUCUUAUGGCAUGCUUACUUUAUUAUGUGUACAAAGUUUCAUCUUUUGUUGACCCAAUUUUUGAUGGGAUUAUUUUAGGACGAAAGUGUCCUCGUGGUUCUGGUCGCUCUGCUGGCCUCACACCAGAACAAAAAAGACAAGCAAGGCGGGAACGUGAUAAAAAGCGCCGUCAAAGUUUGACACCCGAGGCUAGGGAAGAGAUAAAUGCUCGCAGAAGAGCGCACACGGAAAGUUUAACACUUGAAGAGAGGCAGGCUGCUAAUGCCUGCCGAAGGGUGGCUCGGAAAAACUUGCCAAUUGAGGAGAGACAAGAGGCCAAUGCUCGCCGUAGGGUUGCUAGGAAAAACAUAUCACCCGAGGCAAGGCAGGCACUACUAGAUCAUCGUAAGGCAAGCUAUGCAGCUAGGCGAGACACUCCGUGCACGGAGUCCAUCACAAUGCGAUGCCCCGAGCCAUGUGCUCUACAAGUAGACCACCCAUCAUCGAGCACACCAACAUUCAGAGUUAGAAAUGAUGGUAAGGUUUCCAACCUGUUCACCAUUUUUUGUCCGAAAUAUAAUGUUUCAUCCUUUACUUUCUCAUCCACAUGCUAGAUGAUAUGGAAUCCCUCCUCAACGGUAUCAGAGGUAUGGACACCAUCCAUGAGGAUGACAUGGAUGAGGAGUAUUACAUCUUCAGUGGUGAAGGUAAUUUUGACAUUGUUUGUUCAAUCCAUUUUAUAUAUAGUGCGAUGUGGUAACACACUCAUUAUAAAUGCGUACAGGUGGAAAUGUUAGCGAGGACGUCAACUUUAAUGAAGAAGUCGAUGACUUUGUAGAAGGCUCCAAUGCCCCGGAUCCUUAUGAUAUCGUUUACUCAAACAUACCUAAAAAUACACAUUCCCUAAAACCUGUUGCAAGCUGCAAACACUGUGGUGCAAAAAGGUUUCAGUAUGAGUCAAAGGGUUUCUGUUGUCGGUUGGGGAAAAUCAAGUUGGCAAAUGUAGCACCCAUCCCAGAACUUAUGAGGCUCUGGUCGAGUGAAGAUUCUGAUGCAAGGCAUUUUCGGGAGAGCAUUAGAUUCUUCAAUGGUCACUUUUCUUUCACAACCCUUGGUGUCAGCCUUGAUAAUAACUACACCAACAUGAGGUCAGGGGUGUACACGUUUCGGGCUCAUGGCCAGAUGUACCACAAUGUGCAUUCAUUUGGUCCAAGGGAUUUCGGACCGGACCAUUUGCAGUUGUACUUCUAUGAUGACGACCCCACCUUGCAACAUCGCUUUCGGCAUUCUCCUAGCCUUGACCAAGAGGUCAUUACAAAGUUGGUCAACAUCCUUAGGGACAACCCAUACUCCCAAAUUUUUAGGAGCCUAGGCCAAACCGAGGACCUUGCGGAGUAUAGAAUAUCCUUGAACACUGACCAAAGGUUGGACCAACGAAGGUACAAUGUACCGCUAUCGUCAGAGGUGGCUGCUGUCUGGGUCGAGGGCAAUGACCUUGUUAGGAAGUUCAAACGAAGUGUUAUCUUGUACGGAAAUGACAACACGAAGUAUGGUAUACAACCAUAUUACGGUUGCUAUGACCCCCUAUCGUACCCCCUCUUCUUCCCGAGGGGAGAGCUUGGUUGGCAUCCUCAGAUCCCAAAGGUUGGUGUCUCCUUAGAUGAGGUGCUCCAGUCUAAUGAAAAUGAAGACAACGACCCAGGUUAACCAUUUGGUGUACUUAUGUGUAGUUUCUUUUUUUUCUCCAUAUUGAAUGUCCACCUAAUUUUGUGCUACCCACUUUAUAGAAAUGAAUAGCCGCCUAUGCGUCUCUGUUAGGGACUACUACUGCUAUAGGUUACAGACAUGUCCUGGGAUAUUCAACCCCAUAUUGCAUGGCCAGCGUCUAUUCCAACAGUUCGCUGUUGACAUGUAUAUCAAGGUGGAGGGCACAAGGCUGGACUGGAUCAGGAAUCACCAAAAAGAGAUACGCGCUGACCUAUAUAAAGGCGUCAUGGAUAGCAUCACUACCGGAGAGAGUCGUGCAAAUGCGGUGGGCAAGAGGACGGUACUGCCUGGAUCAUUCCAAGGGAGCUGUAGGGAUAUGAAGCGGAGGCACAUGGAUGCCAUGGCAUUAGUCCAAAAGUAUGGAAAGCCAGAUAUCCUCCUUACAAUAACCUGCAAUCCCAACUGGGAAGAGAUAGUUUGUGCACUAGAACCUGGCCAAACCCCACAAGACCGCCCUGAUCUCAUUGUUAGAGUAUUCAAAGCUAAGUUGGAGGACCUAAAGAAGCAGCUAUUCAAGAAGCACAUCCUCGGCAAGGUAAUUGCGUAUGUGUAUGUAAUUGAGUUCCAAAAGAGAGGCCUCCCACAUGCUCACUUCCUGUUGAUCAUGGAGUCCGGAUACAAGCUCACAACUCCAGAGCAAUAUGAUCGCCUCAUCUUAGCUGAGCUUCCAGACAAGCAUAAGUAUCCGGAGCUAUAUGCGAUGGUAAUAAAGCAUAUGAUGCACGGGCCUUGCGGGGUCUUAAACCCCAAGAACGUGUGCAUGCAGGAUGGAUGUUGCAAGAAUCGGUACCCACGUCCAUUUAACACGACUACCGUCCAAGGAAAGGACUUGUACCCCAUUUACCGGAGACGUGACGACCAUCGUCGAGCACAAGUUCGAGGGAAAAUUCUAGAUAACAGGUGGGUUGUGCCAUAUAACCCUUACCUCCUGAGGAUGUACAAUUGUCAUAUCAAUGUUGAGGUGUGCUCUAGCAUAAAGGCCGUUAAGUACCUUUACAAGUACAUAUACAAGGGCCACGAUCGGACUUCGGUCUCUCUUGAUGAGCCUGAUAGUAAUGGCGAAAUUGAUGAGAUCAAGAGAUACUUAGAUGCGAGGUGGGUUACACCACCAGAGGCACUAUGGAGGAUUUAUGGCUUCCACCUUAGUGAAAACUUCCCAUCUGUGAAGCAAUUGCAACUUCAUCUCCCAGACAUGCACAUGAUCUCGUUUAACGCGGACCAUGAUCUGAAUGACGUCGUCACUCGUGAGGGUGCAUCCAAGACAAUGCUCACAGAGUAUUUUGAGGCUAACAGGACAAUUACGGAGGCUCGAGGAAUUCUAUACAAGGAUUUCCCAGAAAAGUUUGUAUGGCACGCGACCCUGAAAAUAUGGAAAACGAGGACGAAACAGUUCCAGGUUGGUAGAAUCGUGUCGGCUCAUCCUGCUGAGGGAGAACGGUACUACAUGAGGGUGUUGUUAAACCAUGUGACCGGAUCGACAUCGUUCGAAGACCUGAGGACGGUGGAUGGUGUCCUUUGCCCAAGCUUCCGAGAAGCUGCUGAAAGAAGGGGUCUCGUUGAGGCUGACAACACCCUUAACGAAUGUCUUACAGAGGCUGAGCUAUUCCAGAUGCCAUCCUCGUUGCGUAGGCUCUUUGCAACUAUCUUGGUGUUUUGCGAGGCUAGCGAUGUGCGCGGGCUCUGGGAUAAGCACCUAGGUGCAAUGUCAGAGGACUAUUGACGGAUCCACACAUGCCCACACAUAGUGGAGCAGAAGGUGUUGCUAGACAUCAGGAACAUGCUGCAAUCGAUGGGAAAAGACAUAACGUUGUUCCCUUUGCCCAACAUUGAUGAGUCGCAUGACACUAUCGGUGGCGAGGGUAGAGAGAUCAUUGAGGAGUCCUCAAUCGAGGUAGACAUUGAGCACGCUUCUCUAGCAUCCUCCCUUAACCUCGAGCAAAAAUCCGCCUACGAUGAGAUAUUAUCCGCCAUCGAUAGUGGCAAUGGAGGUGUCUUCUUUGUAGAUGGCCCGGGAGGCACUGGGAAGACUUUUUUAUAUAAAGCAUUACUUGCGAAGGUUCGUAGCGAGGGCAAGAUGGCCGUGGCAACUGCGACAUCGGGAGUGCAGCAUCUAUCAUGCCUGGAGGCAGGACCGCACACUCAAGGUUUAAGAUCCCGCUCAACAUUGACGAAGGCGCAACAUGUAGCUUUACGAAGCAGAGUGGGACGGCCAAGCUCCUUCGCAUGGCAUCUCUCAUAAUAUGGGACGAGGCCUCCAUGACAAAGCGCCAGGCAGUUGAGGCACUCGACAAUAGCAUGCGGGAUAUAAUGGGCCGACAUGACCUGCCAUUUGGGGGGAAGGCCGUUGUGUUUGGCGGGGACUUUAGGCAGGUCCUCCCAGUUGUCCGGAAGGGGACAAGGCCCCAGAUUACCGACGCGACUUUGCGCAUGUCAUACCUAUGGGAAAGCAUGCGACAACUCAAGCUCAUUCGUAACAUGAGGGCACAUAACGAUGAGUGGUUUGCAGAUUUCUUGCUAUGUGUCGGGAAUGGCACCGAGGAGACAGACGAGGACAGCAACAUUUGCCUGCCUCAAGAAAUUUGUGUGCCGUGUACUGGGAAGGACGCUGACCUUGACAAGCUAAUUGAACAUGUCUUUCCUUGUCUAGAUGAGAACCUGACCGACCCGAAUUACAUCACAUCUCGAGCAAUUCUAUUGACCAAGAAUGAAAAUAUCGACACGAUAAACUUGAGGAUGAUAGAGCGUUUCCAAGGUCAAGAGAUGGUAUAUCACAGCUUCGAUCGGGCGGAGGAUGAUCCCCACAACUACUACCCCUCUGAAUUUCUCAACUCACUCACUCCAAAUGGGCUUCCUCCACAUGUUCUAAAGCUGAAGAUUAACUGUCCAGUUAUACUUCUGCGGAACAUCGACCCUGCUAAUGGACUAUGCAACGGAACAAGGUUGGUUGUUCGGGGGUUUCAAAAAAACGCUAUCGAUGCUGAGAUUGUGCUAGGACAACAUACUGGAAAGAGGGUGUUCCUCCCUCGUAUACCCUUGUGCCCCUCCGAUGAUGAGAUGUUCCCUUUUCGGUUUAAGAGGAAGCAAUUUCCAAUAAGGCUAAGUUUUGCUAUGACAAUCAACAAGGCACAAGGGCAGACCAUUCCUAAUGUUGGUGUUUACCUGCCUGAUCCUGUUUUCUCCCACGGCCAGUUGUACGUCGCACUGUCUAGAGCCACCGCUAGAAGAAAUAUAAAGAUAUUAGCCAUCUCUAAUUGCGACAGGGAUGUCCGAUCCAAAUCUAGAAAGUCUAGAGGAACAAAAACUCGAAAGAUCCUAGACACCGCUGGAAAUGGCAAAAAGGGCAACGAUUUGCUGUCCAAGUCAGCCAAGUCUCAAGGGACAAUUACGCGAAACAUAGUGUACAGGGAAGUUCUCACAACAUAGACAUUUGAGCGAAUUCUAAAAAGGUUACCAUGUAGAAGGCCACAAGCAGUUGUACAUACUUUUUACUCAUAUAUGUACAAGGGAGCUCGAUUUUGAUGUACAUUCUCCGUAAUGUGUCAUGUUCUUAACGACCUUUUUUUUUAUCCUAUUAAUUGGGAGCUUUCUCAUUCCCUGGCUCAAUAAUCUCUUUAUGGCAGUAAUGAUCGAAUGUGCUAUUAUAUUUCUAUGUGCUUUCAGAUUUUGUAGUGUUUUGGUGGAAUGAGAGAUAUGUACAUAACAAAAGCAUAAUAGAGAUACAUGAACUGAACAAAAGUGACAAAAACAUGUUAUGCUAGCCUUUAAAUUUUGUUGUGUACUUUGCUAUCUUUAGAAGAUUUAGAAGACACAUGAACUGAACUUUACCUUGCAGUUAUUUUCUCCUCUCUCAUCUCUAGAGAAGCUUGUUCAUUCAACUCAUCUUGUAAGUUCCAGACCGUCAUUUUCUAAAAGUAGAGCAUGGUAUCUGUUUCACAGGAGCAUUCAUGAGGGACACCAAAAUGUGCUAGAGGUCAUCGAACUCUGUACUUCCAAUUAAGGAGGUCCUCUGUUUUGGACUGCGGUUGAUAUUCGAGGAGGAGCUAUGUCCAUUCACUUGUAUAUGCGAAAGUGAGUUUGGCUCUUUCUAUUUUUGGUCCGAUCAAACUAUCAUUUGAUAAUUCAUGUCCUGCUGACUUGUUUUGAGUUGUCCAAUUAUUUUUCCUAUGACACGUUGCAAUUCUUUUGUCAAUUUUAAUUUGCAUUGUAAAAUACAUUGAGUUGAUUUCUAAUAAAUACAGAGAAUGCAUCUGACUUUGAGAAUUACAUAUUCCUGGCUGUUGGAAGAAUGGGGUCAAGUAGUGUGAUUGCCUUCGAGUUGAGUUUGUACAUGAGGCAGGUAAGAAAAGCCACCUUAUGGAUCUGCUAUAUGCACAAAGAGAGCGUGCAGAUCAUGGAAACGUAAUAAUUUUGCCUUGCCUGCUAUUAGUUCUUUUAUUCAAUCAAUUUCUCUAAUGUUUUUGUUGUUAGUUUAUCUUAAUUAAGAUCAAUGUCGUAUUGUGUACUGUAUUAGAUUACAAAUGCUUGUGCAGUUGCACAGUUGCAGUGCCAUUAUACAAGCAAAAAAUGCACUAUCACAUUGCUGGAUCUGAACCUAGAUGUUGGUAACACAGUGUACUUGAAUGCAUAGCUAUGUUUCCUGUUUCAAUAAUAAAUAAAUAAAUGCCUACAGCUAUGGUACAGUAUGACAUGUCUCAGUCACUUCCUCUCUCUUUCAUGGUCUUUCAUUCACCCCUUCCCUAGGCAUGCAAUCGAUUAUAGCUUUUAGCAGGCCUCUGGUUAUCUACCUACAACCCCCUCCUCUGUUCUGCUAAUUUUAGUCCUACUAUUUCUUAGAUAGCGUGUAGUCUUUGUGGUGCUACUAGCCAAAAACACAUUGGCAUAAACCAAAAACACAACAUUCUUAUUUUGGUAUUAGUGUCUUUACCUAUUCUGCAAAAAAGUUGGUACAAAAAUAAAAAGUUUGGCGUGUAUAUAGAUGUUGCUGACACAAUGUACUUGAAUGCCUAUAGCUAUGUUUCCCAUUUGAAAAAAGAAAGAGUCCCUACAGGCUAUAGCUAUGUUACAGUCUGGUUUGACAUGGUAUUGCAUUGCCCUUUCUUUUGUUUUACCAUUUCCCCAUGUUUGCAAUCGAUUAGCUUUAUGUAGGCCCAAGUUCCCAACCCAAAUAGAAUAUUUUAUAACCCUUCUUACAAUUGUUUUUAAACUUCAGUACAGUGAAAGUGACUUCGAUGGAACCAAAAUAUCAAAUCUCUCUCUCUCUCUCCCCCCUCCCCUGAUGUUAUAUAAUCCAAGUAAGUCCCUCUCUCUCUCUCUCUUCUCUCUCUCUCUCCUGAGCCAGUUCUAAAUCUAAAUAGAUCCCCUCAGUCUCUCCCCAGCCCCUCUCUCUCUCUUCAGUGUCCAAUCGAAGAUCUGGUUCCUGCUCUGGCUCCCCUCCCCAAUCUGCCUCCCCCUUAUCUGUCUCUCCAUGGGAACUGUCAACAACUUCGACCUGUCAAUGUAUGUGCUCCCUUCCCCAAUAUGUUGUUCUCUCCUUGCAGGGGUAGAGCACCAAUCACUCAGGAUGAAUCGACCUAGCUAGGCAGUAGUCUGCGGAUGGGAAAGGAGCUCCUGCUAGCUGGUAAGUCUAUCUUAACCAUAUCUUUUGCUUCUGCUCAGUCUACAUCUUCUCUCCCUGAACCAUGCCAUUAGCACGCUCCAAUCUUCACAUUCACACUUCUAUAUAAAUGGUGCUAACCUCUGCCUUCCUUUCCUCAGGAGCACUUUCCUCCUCAGGUGCACAAGCACCACCGAAGUAGAGUGUCUCUCUCCAUUGCACUGCAGCACCAUCACCAAAUAACAGGUCGUCUCCUCUCACCUUUUCUGUAGCAUCGGCAUAUUCAUUCCUGAUUUGUAGCAGUAUAACAAUGAAUUACAUUUCAUAGAUGCAUGCUAUUAUCUGAAAACUUCAUUGUCUAUUAGAUGAUUCUUAUCUUUUUCAAAUGUGAUCUCUUGAAGAGCUCUGCAUAGUAUAACUCAUGGUGUUUGUAGUCAGGUUUAAUUUUACCAUGUGAUGCAUGAAAUUUUUCCAUGGAAAGUUACCUGCUAAACUUUUAUGUGUUUUAUUAUCUUCUUGUCCUUCCCAUGCUUGGUAUUGCCUGUUCAUAUAUGGACUCAGCAUUUUCAUUGCUUGUGUUUUUUUAGCAUGAAGCGCCAAAGAGUUUGUGCACCACAUAUCCCAACUCUGAAGGAUGUCCAUCACGGCACCAGAUGGAGUUUAUGUCUCCGAGUAUACCACAAGUUUCAUGUUGAGAGAAUUGGACAUGGUAGGAAGAGGGUCAACUUUGUUCUGUUGGAUGCAGAGGUAAUGUGUGCACAUAUUUCCACUUAUGAGUUGUAUAUUUAUAAAUCAUGCAGUAUGUAAGUUUUUUUUCGUUCCGAUAGGGCACAAAGAUGGCUGCCACCAUAUAUGAUGACCAAGUUGAUCGUUUAGAUCCAUUGCUUAAAGAAGGCAUAGCCUAUUAUGUGUCGAUGAUGUCUGUUGAACCAAUUUCAAGUACGCAACGACGAAUGUUUGCUGAUAAUCCUUAUGAAUGUCAUUUCACUUCCGUCACUCAAGUGUUUGAGAUGAGAAACAUGGGUGAAGGGACAAUCCCUUUCUUUCCUCCCUUCCUUCCAUGUGAUCGGAUUUUCCCAUCCACUCUUUAUAAUGACAUCUAUGUCGGUAAGUUGUGUACUUUACUACUGAUUUAGUGUAUUUGUAAGAAACAAAAAUGUUCUUAGACCUCUUUUCUGUCUAUCCCAUGUUAGAUGUCAUUGGAAUGGUUUUGUAUGUAAGCUCAGUGGCCUUUGCGGAUGGCAUCUAUAAUAGGCGAAUCCCAUUUAGGAAUCUUCUUCUGAUGGAUGACAAGUAUGUGUGCUUAGUUGUUUAUAUUUGUAUUCAUGAAUCUUGAAUUGUUCCAUAAUUAAUAUAGAAUUAUUCUAUGUCUUGGCUGAACUAUUUUGUGCAUCUACAGGUUUAAUUUUGUGAACGUAUGUGUGAAGGACAAAAUGGAAAGUGGCCACACUCGUGCUUGGGCAAGAAGUGCUGAGGAGUGUACAAUUGUUAUUGUUACCAUGCUGAGAGUAAAGCAUGCUGGUAAGUACGAUAUGUUAGUGGUUGUUUGCAGCUUCAGUUCGUAAGGAUAGAUUGAUAGCUUAUCACCAUAAAUCUUUGAACAUUAUUUACCCAGGAAUUGUCCUUUCAGAUGCAAUGUAUGUUAGCGAGAUACUAGCACCACCUAGAAAAAUAUUUAAAUUCAUAAAGCAGUGCCAAUAAAAUAAGGGUGGCGUUCUGUAUCAAAACUAAUUAUUUCACUAAAGAAACUGAGUCAAAUGUUGGCAUGGUACAUUGAGAUUAAUGCUAGAGGAUAGAUUCAAAAUUCACCACAAUUAGAACAUGCACAGGUCUGAAAGUAGAUUGAAUGGCCGUGGAUUUGGCUGGGUACAAAUUAAAUGUAUGUACCAUAUAACUAAUGGAUUUCUCUAAUAUGUGAUUGUUGUUACUUAACUUGAGCAAUGUCUGCAUACUACUACCUUCAGUAGGGUGCACUUUGGUCCAGAUGUUGAUGUUGCACGUCAGAUGAAAAAGAGGUGAUGACUUGUGAUGCUUACUCUUAUUUGGAUAUUGUUAAAAUAUCUUGACUAAAUUUGUGUAUUUUGUAGGAUCAACAAUGACCUUAGUUGAUCUACUUUAAGUCAGCACAAACAGUGGAAGGAGCCUUUUGUAGUCACCUUUUGAGCCAAGGAUGCUAGAAGAAGUAAGAAGUUGAAGCCUUAGGAGACAAACACAAAACACACCAGCUGUGUGUGCAUCGAUGAAAAUGAACCUUUUGCAACCACCUUUCAAUGUUUACAUAUGUUUAUUUUGUUAUUAUGGCCUCUUAGCACUACUUGUGGCCUAAAUCAUGUUAUGGUGGAUUGGAAAAUGCCGUCGCUGUUAUGGAUGAAAAUGUCGUAAUUCUACUUUAUCACAAGUUAUGUUAUUUUGUGAUCUAAAUAGCUGUGUUCCUUGUGAGUAAGGAUAAGAAUCUUUUGAAACUUUUCGUUGUGAGUCUAAUUGCAAAUGGACAUGAGCUUUAUUUUAAGAGUCUGUUUAUUACUUUUUGUUGCUUUGUGUUAGAUAGCUCACCAGGGAUUAAAUAAAUAAAGUAAAUAGUUUUGGUAACAAUCAAAUAUGAGAAUAGGUGUUAUGAUUUUUUAGCAAUGCAAGGUGGUUCCGUGGCAGCGCACGGGCACCUUACUAGUAAUAAUAAAAAGCCCGAUUUUACAAUUUAAGUUCAAUAGCUAAUCCUCGUCGCCAGAAGAGAAUACAAUCAGAACUUGGUCCGUCGGUGGACGUGCGCGUGCUGUAUCCCGCGGCGUUGGGUUGUCGCGUUUGUGGUGAGACCCAGGGGUGCUGAGUGUUGCAGCGAGGUCGUCCUCGAUCCUGACUGCGCGAAGCCGGUUGCGCGCGUCCGCUGCCCGACGCUCAGCUUCCUGUGUGAUUUUCUGGGCAUCGUCUAGCGCGAUAUUUGCAAGUUCCACCUUCCUCCUAGCUUCCUCCUCUAGCAUACGAGCAUCGGCAGCUUCCAUCUUGGCUGCGAGGGAGUGGUUCGUUGCCUGUUCGAGGCAUUGGGCAUACGUGGUGCCCAUCUUGAGUAACGGAAAACGAAGAUGGUUAAUGAGAUGACGAUAGUAGUUCGAGGAAUACGAAUGUACCGGUGUACCUCUAGCUGCAUGGGGGCGACGAAACCCGUGUGGAAGUCGGAGGACAAGCCUUGGAGCUCGUUCUCUAUGAAGUAGCCGUCGUCGUCUGAAGGUUCGUCCUCUUUUGGCCAGAGGACAGGAUCAGAAGAGAACGAUGAAGGUGCUUGUGUAGAGUUAGCGGCAGUUGCCGGGCCAGAUGAUGGUACGGAGGCAGAUGUACCGCCGGUGGAGUAUGUGCCAGAGCAGUUGAGCCACCAGGGCAUCUUUUGCCAUGACUUCGCUUCUUGGGUGGCAUUGGAAGGAGGGCGUUGAGCGGCGCGUGCGUGUGUGUGUGAUAGUUGCUACGAGGAAGGUUAAUACAUUGGCAGCGAUGGAGGGUGGUAGGUUAUUUCAAAGAUGUUGGAGUUGAAUGGAAUUCGUGCUGAAAGCGUUCUGACAAACAGGUUUGUACUUGUGAGAGGGCAAUAAAUUCGGUCCCCCGGAAUGUACUUUCGGGCAGCACAACAAAAUCCAGGGCGCGGGCACAUCUGGGUGAAUUGAUGGCCAGGUUGAGCUAUUUAUGUCCCUGGGUCCGCCCCCAUGGUUAAUGCAGGCUAUCUCAAUAAAUUCAUGUUGCUUUGUUGGGUAGAGAACGGUCGGAUGGCCCAUGAGAUCUCCGUUAAUGAACGUCGCGGACAGGGUGAAGCCACACAUCUGGCGCAUGUGCUGCUUUGUUGGGCAGGCUACGUUCGGAUGGCCCAUGAGAUAUUUACGCUAAAAUGUACCAGAUCAAUUGCGCAACAAAUGGCCCAUGAGAUCUUUGCGGUAUCAAUGGCCCAUGAGAUCUUUACGUGAAAAUGUCCCAUGGCCCAUGAGAUCUUUGCGCUAACAAUAUUCGCAUGUUUUGUUGGCCCAAAUAACGCAACACCGUGUGCCAUGGGACAUGGGAUGGCCCAAGAGCCCUGUUAUUAACAUGUGCUACGAUCGCACAUUUGUUGGGCUAGGAAAACGCAAAACCCCAUCUCCCAUGCUGUCGCGGGCUUCGUCAACGGUCGAACGGCCCAUGAAAAACGCCAUCUCAUGAACCAGAUCGUAGCAC
rnacentral:lncRNA from 1 species